GUUCAUUUGCAUAUCCAAUACAUUAAGAGAAGUUAAUGUUCCCAGGCAUUGUGGAAUCAUACCUGUCAAAUUGUUGUGAGCCAAAUUGAGAACAUUCAGGUAACUUGCAUUGCAGAAUGUUGAAGAAAUAUCUCCUGUGAAGUUGUUAUUUGAGAGUGAAAAGUAUCCAAUGCCAUCAGGUGGAAUUGGAAGAUCUCCUUGUAACUUGUUGAAACUCAAGUCAAUGUACGAAAUCCCAUUCCAUGAGUUUUCCCAUUCCAUGAGCUUCUUAUGAAACCAUUUGGGAAUUUUCCCAUGAAUGUUGUUGUUGGAGAGAUCUAACGAUUGCAGAUUUGGUAGUUGCGCUAGGAAUUUAGGAAAACUAUUAAUAUUAGCAUUAGAUAAUUCUAAGUCAACAAGGUUGGGUAAGAUGGAGUCAACAUUGCUAUUAAUGUUGAUAGAAAGAAAACUAUUAUGGGAAAGAUCAAGGGAACCUAGUUUGUUUAAUUUUGAAAAUUGGUGAAAAUCCACAACACCACUUAAGUUUGUGGAUGACAAAUAUAAGUCGGUAAGAUUUUGGAGUUGAAAUAUUGAAUUUGGAAAAUGACCUUGUAGGUUGUUAUUAGAGAGAUCCAAAUAUUGCAAAGAAUAUGUUGAAAACUCACCAAUGAACCCUGUGAGGUGGUUGUUGCUGAGGUGUAACUCUAACAACGAAGGCAAAGAAUAACACCAAUGUGGAAUUGUUCCAUUUAACAUGUUAUCACUCAAACCCACAUAGCUCAAUUUUGAACGUUUUGUGAUUUCAAUUGGAAUUGGCCCAACUAGUUUGUUAUAUGAUAAACCUAAAAUAGAAAGGUGAGGUAGAUGAAAAAGUGAUGAUGGAACUUGGCCUGUUAGGUUGUUAGAGGAAAGUGAUAAAUAUUCCAAUUUGAUUAAAUUUCCAUAAACAUUUGGGAUGCUAGCACUAAAGUUAUUCAAUCCAAGAUCACAAUGAAUGAGGUGUUUGAGGUUUGAAAGUAAUGGUGAGAUCUCACCGUUAAGUUUAUUAUGUGAAAGAUCCAAAUAUGUUAGUUGGGUGAGGUUCCACAAAGAUAGAGGAACCAUUCCAUCAAAAUUGCAGAAUGAAAGGACUAAUUGAGUAAGAGACUUCAAUUGACCUAUGGAAUAAGGAAUUUCACCUGAAAAAGCAGAGAAAGAGAGGACCAAGUACCUUAGAGGAGUGCUCCAGUUGGACUUUGGAAGUUGACCACUAAGGUUAUCAUUAGAUGACAAAUCCAAUCUUUGAAGAUUAGGUAAAGAGAGGAUGUCACUUGACAAAUUUCCUUGCAACUCAGUUUCUGAUAGACUAAGAGAAACCAAAGAGGAUGACAAAUUCUUUAGCAUUGACAAAGAGCUCUCUCUGAUGGAAGACAUGUUCACAUUAUCCAAAUAAAGUUCCCUUAAAUUAGUAGCAUUAUGAAUGAGUUUCUUCCAAAUGAACGAAUUGAGUUUCAAUCCCACUUCUGCGGACCAGUAACUGCUAAGAUCAAGUGAUACUAAUUUUGACAAAUGAGAGAUUGUGGAAGGAAUAUUACCACUGAGGUCAGAGUAUGAUAGAUUUAGAUGUGUGAGUUUCACUAAAUCUCCAACACCAAUAGGUAUUGAAGACCAAGAAAAAUGAUUAAAAGCCAAGUUGAGUUGUUGAAGGUGUUUAAGCUGAAAGAUGGUGCUAUUGGGAUGUAAUUCACCUUUUAGAUUGUUGCAACUGAGGUCCAGACCAAUCACGUGAUCUGACAUGGUGUCGCACGUGACACCAUCCCACUCACAACAAUCUGUACUGUUUUCCCAAGAUUCUGUCUUGAAAGAAAAAGAAGAACGCGCAAAAUAGAGUUGAGAUGAAGUGCUGACAGAAAAAGAGUUUUUGAAUUGUAACAAGGCAGAGUUGUCAUGUUUGUUGCACAGUGAGAAAGUGUAGGAAGUAAAAUGAGUAAUCAACAACAACAAGAAAAAGUGAAAGGUAAAAUAAGGCAAUGGAAUAAAAAAGGAUCCCAUUUAGAGAAACUUACACUUAAUACUCUCUUCUCAGUAUUAUUUCCUUUUUCCUUUAUGAUAUGAUUUUGGAUGUACCAAUUGAUUUCCCUCUAUUUAGUUAUUUAUAUUCAAAGAAACUAAAGCAUUGAUAUAAGAUGGGUUUGUUUUGUAGUAAGUGCUGGUGCUUAUCUUCAACCGUAUGAGGCACUCCAGUUCGAAGAUUGAUUUUUUGUGGUUGCAAUUUUUUUGUAAUGGAGUACUAAUUGACGAUAACAUUCAUUUAUUACUAAUUGACGAUAACAUUCAUUCAUUAGUAUCCAUACAAACAUUUGGUGUAUAAUUAAGUGGUGCAUAAUUAAGAUAUGUAGGGUCAACCAAACAUUUAUCAAUUUAUUUUUGAGCAAAGUAAUAUAAAAUUACUUUAACAAAUUAAUUCUAAAGUUGAAUGAAGAGUUAUCUUUAAUUUAAAUGAAAUUAAGAAAAUUAAUUGAGCCAAUGAAUGAAAGUUAUUUUGCGUAGAAAACCGAGUAAACGUUUUAGAAAUUGAGUCUUGCGGUGCUCUUGUUUGGUAGUAGCUAGGGGAUGUCUUCUUCAACCGUAUGGAGCACUCCACUGGAAAUAUUUUUUGUGGUUGCAAUUUUAGUGAUACGAUAAUUAAUUCAUUAGCAUCCAUAGAAAUAUUACAAGACUUGACUUUAGCCAAAUGAGACAAUUCCAUGAAGAAAAAUGAUAUAUUGGAACAGAUAUUAUUAUUUUUUUAAUAGAAAGAUUUUGGAACACAUAUGUGACAUCAAACAAGAGACGUCUACACAUGUCCUUUUUUAAUAUUUAAAAAAAACUUUUUUAAAAUGGUGGAGAAUUAUUGUAACACAAAAAUUAAGUUGUGAUAUUAACUUUUUUUUCACGCGCAUGGCUAGUAGACAUGUCAUACAUGGAACCAUGAUGAUCUUGAGAUUUUUGAGUAAAUGACGUGCACCCACGCCAAAGGUUGACAGACAAAUCUGUUGUACCAUAAACUCGACCACGGGUACGACCCCCUGCAGACUCGGUCCACAACCCAAGUUUUGUUCCUCCAUCAGCCUCUUGCACACCAUCUCUAGUUGUUUCAUCAAUCUGGGCUUGUACUGUACUCAAAAGGAACGAACUAUGAAGUAGUUAAAUUAUAGUCUUAACCAUUGAUUUCAAUUCAAUAGUUAUAAAUAUUGUUUCUUAGUUUUUGCUCUGUUUCUAUUGUAAAUAUUGUUUGGACUUUGCUGGUUCUUUCUUAGUACAUCUUGUGCUAGGAAAGACUCAUUGUAAAUAUUGUUUGAUUUCGUAAUAUAUUCCAUUUUAGCUUCUUCAAAAAAAUUCAAUAGUUAUAAUUUUGCAUCAUAUUCGGAGCACUCAUCAUUUUAGAGGAGCCAAAUCCAAAAAUAGUACAUAUGACCAGGUGGAGGAUCUGAUGUAUUAACAAAUUUGCUCAAGAUUUGUAUCUCACUUUCUCAAAGGAAUAGUGAUCUCAUCUUCUAACUUCACUCACUAAAUAUCUGUCAGAAUUUGUAUAGACCGUAAAGAUUUUGAACUCUUGAUUGAAGGGUGUUUCCUCACUAUGAAAGGAAGUCAUGUUGUCUUAUUACAUUUAUCAUCUGGUUCAAAAUAUUGGAUUAGCAAAAGGCAAGUAAGUUUGACUCGACCUUAAAAGGUCAAUAUGUAUAGGUAGGUGAGAAGAUUCUCUUGAUUUUUAAUAUUCUUGCCACCAAAUUAUAGGAUUUUAAUGCAUAUUAAUGGCUACUUUUUCUUUUAAUUUGUGGGGAGAAUUAUUUUUAAGACAUUUGAUUGAACAGUUUAUGUUACAUUGGUUAAAUAGGUGGUACAAAAGUACUAGUUUUCAACCAUCACAUGUGGUGUUACAUUGGCAAUUUGAUUUCCUAGCCUCGUUUGUGGCAUUCUUUAUCGAUCGAGAUGUACACCAAGUAUUCUUUAUUCAAAUGUUUUUAUUUCUUUUAAAAUGGAGCGGGGAGUGAUUUAUAUAAACAGGGGAGGUAUAAAGAAACCAGCAAAAUAGAGUGUUGAUUUUGAGUAGAUAGGUACAAUAACUUGUUAUCUAACUAGUUAUUUUGGGAAUUGUUGGAACAUUGAUGUGAUGCUUGAUGAAAAAUUAGAAGAUUAAACAUCAAGUAAUUAUACUUUGAUAUAAUGUUGUGUGAAUUGAAAAAAUAGAGUGUGGGGUCCCACAUAAAAUAGAACACACACAUAUUAGUAGUGUUUAAAUUGUGGUAUUUAAUUUUAAAUACUUGAUAAUGAUAAAAAUAAUAGUAAUUAUUAUUUUAUUCGAGAAUAUCACUUUCCAUAAAUUUAGCUUAUGGUGGUUGUGAUAAGAAUAAUAAUUUAAUUAUUAUUAUAUUUCCUUCAUUCAAAUCCAAUAGUUUUUUUCCUCCACUUUUGUGGAUUUGUUUCUUUUGAUCCUAUCCACAAGUGUUGUUGAACUGAUUAAUAGAUAAACUCCAUUUUAAUCUUAUUCAUUAGAGUAACUGUUGUCGCAAUUUUUGCUAAAACAGUUACAGAAUCUCUAUAUAAAUAGAGGACUCCACUGAAGUAGAUAAAAUAGUCACAAGGAAGGGGGGGGGGGGGGGUUUGAAUUGUGACCCUUUAAAAAUUAAACCUGUAACUUAAAAUUGAUUCUCAAGUUGAAACUUGGAAUGGUUAAGUUAAAACAGACUUCAGAACGUUCUGAUGUCUGAUUGCAAAAACAGUUUAAUAAAGUAAAUGUGUUUGUGUUUGUUGUGUAUGCAGUAAGUAAAGAGUAUAGGGAAGAGAGAAUCAACACAUAGAGAAUUUAUAGUGGUUCACCCAAUGUGGGUUAGUCCACUCCUCACAAUCUUGUGAGAGUUUCCAUUAUGAUGCUUGAGAUAACCUCUCAAAUCCUGCACCUUACAUUCCUUGUUCACCUGAACAAUUACAACAUCUGUAUUCUCUAAGCCUCAGCAGACUUGCACCUUGUUGCUAAGUUAACCACUUAGACUUUUACAAACUCAGCUCAAACUAACACUUUAGUACCUCUAAAGCUAGAUGAGAUUUGUUUUUCUUCUUGCUAAGUUACCCACUUAGACUUUUUCUCCUUCUGCUCAAACUAACACUUUAGUACCCCUAAAGCUAGAUGAGACUUUCUUUUCUUCUUGCUAAGUUACCCACUUAGACUUUUGCACCUUUAGCUCAAACUAACACUUUAGUACCCCUAAAGCUAGAUGAGACUUUACAAGAUGUUUGAAGCUUGAAUGAUUGAAAUCAGACAAGAGAAGAAAGGAAGGAAGUGUUAUCUUUAAAGAGAUAACAAAGAGUAUUGAUGUGCACUAAGGAAACAAGAACCUUAGAGAUUGAUCAAUUUCAAUUUGCAAGAGCUUCAAACAAUCAAGUUGUUUUCUUGUAUGCUUUGCAAUUUGUUGUGGAGUUUGAAUGUUUGAGAAUCAAACAGAGGAGGAGGAAGAAAGUUAUCUUUGCACGAGAUAACUAAGAGUAUUGAUUUGCAUUAAGGAAACAAAAGUCUUAGAGAUUGAUAAAUUUCAAUUUGCAAGAGCUUCAAACAAUCUUUGUUGUUUUCUUGUAUGCUUUGCAAUGGUGCAAGUUUUGCUAAUUCCUUGAUCUCUAUUUAUAGAGUCUUUGGGCUCAUAUAGCCGUUGUAGGAUGUUCAAUGGUGUUAUGCCAUGUGUCCUAGGUCCCACAAGCUUUAACUUGAAAUUCUGGGCAAACAUUCUGAUCUCUGAUGAACAUCAGAAUGUUGUUGUGUUCAUGAUGAUCUUCAUCUGGGUUCAUCAUGUAUGAAUGAACACAUGAAGUUCUGGGCUAUGCAUAUGCUUUUCAUAUGAAUUUCUGGACAAUAACCAAUGUAUGGACUUUUCUUCAUACAUCAGAAUGUUCCUUUCCCAGAUUUUGCCUUGGGUGUAACGCCCUAGUUAUUUAAUUAAUUAUUUUAUUAUGAGGAGUAUAUAUAUAUAUAUAUAUAUAUAUAUAUAUAUAUUAUUAUAUAUGAUGUUUGGUGAUUUAUGUGGAGUAUAUGCAUAUAUUUAUUCAUAUGUGAUUUUUGGAUGUUCUAUGUGGUACAUUAUUUUACUAUAUGGUUUAGUUAAUAAUAAUUAAAAUAAGUAUGAAAUAUUAGUUAUUUUGGAGUUUGGAGAGUUAUUUAAUAAUUAUUAAAAUUCAUGGGGAGCUAAUAGAAAUAUUAGGGAGUUAAGUAAUGGGAAGUUAGGAAAAGAGAAGUUAGAAGCUUUGUACGUGAAAACUGUCAAGUUGGGAGAAAGGGAGAGAAGAGCAAGUAUAACCCAGAGAAUUCAAUUGCUGUGCAUUUCUUCUGCAAUUUUAAGGUAAGGGUGGGAUUUACUUCAAGUAUGUAGUUAUUGAAUUCUGAUUUUGUGUUUAACAGAGUGUUGGUGAGAAUUUGGGAAAUUGGGUUUUUAUGAUAAAAUGAUGAUUUUGAAGUUGUAAGCAUGAUUUUGGGGUUAGAAUUAGGUUCUGGUUGCAUAGAACACUUAAUUAUGUAUCUGUAAACUGAUUUGGGGAGUGAUUGGAAGAAAAAUGGGAUUUUGGGGAAAAACCAGUUUUCUGCCCGUACUGAUGUUCAUUGCUCGCCUCGCGAGCAUUCAUGUCUCGCCUCGCGAGUGAACAACAUCAUUACUCGCCUCGCGAGCAAUCCAACUCGCCAUGGCGAGUAGCCCAGAAUAAAACUUGAUUUUUGAAAAGUUGUUAUAAGAUGUUUUGGGGAUGGUUUAAGGUACCUAGAUGAUUUUAAUGAUGAAUGGUGGAAGUUUUAGGUUAAAAAGAUGAAUAGGGAACUUAGAAAUGGAGUUUGAGUGAGAAAAUGUCACUUUUUCCCGAGAGCACCCGUUUUUCACUCGCCUCGAGUUCGCCUUGAACUCGCCAUGGCGAGAUAGGAAUUUUGUGAACUCGCCAUGGCGAGCAGAUGUGCUCGCGAGGCGAGCUAGUGCAGUUUGAGUGCAGUUUUGCUUGCUUGAUUAAUGAGGUUUGAGUGUUGUUGUUUAAGCAUAAUCGUAUUUAAUUGUGCAUCAUUAUGAAUGGUUGAAUCUCUGUUGGAUGUUGAUUGAUGAUGAGGAAUGUAUUGUAUGUUUUAAAUAUUAAUCAUACAUGUUGUUUUAAUUGGAGUCACAUGGAGUUGCAUUGCAUGGUCAGUUGUAUGUAGAUAUACACAAGUAGGUCCAUUGCAUAUGCAUAAAACAGCGGUGAGGGCUUCGGUCCUGGAGUACUAGUUACUCAACAGCGGUGAGGGCUUCGGUCCUGAUGAAUGCUUUAACCAUUCAAAAGCGGUGAGGGCCUCGGUCCUGAUUGGUACCACAUGCAUAAUUGCAUUUCAUUAAGAAGUCUAAGAUGGUGUCUUAGCAGUGGUCAUGUCAUUUGCAUGGGUCUCGGUUGUUAUUUCAGUUAUUACCUGGUUGAUGUUGAUGUUGGAUAUACAUUCAUAUAUAUAUGUAUUCAUUGUGGUUUUGGUGUAUUGUUGAUGUUGUUGAAGUUAUGUACAUUGUAUACAUACCUGUUAAAUGGAUGAUUAUGAUGAUGUUGCUGUGUCUUGUGAAUAGUUAUGAAUAUUACAAAAUGUUAUAUUUGAAGUUAUAGGGUGUUAGAUUCAUUUGAAGAUUUAAUAUCUAUAUUGUUGUUGUGAAUCUCACCCCUUCUGCUUGAAAACGUUGCCCUUCCUAUGGGUAACUUGCAGGUGAUCCUGAGUAGUUGGUGGUGGCUCAUUGUCGUGUCUAGGGCUCUGAUACGUGGGAUGGGAAUAUUGAUUAUCUUUGUUGUUGUUGCUUUUCCUUUCCAUGUAUCAAAUUUUGGAACUUGUGGUGUGGAGCCUUUUGUUGUCUUUGAACUAUGAUGUUGGAUUAUGUUAAGGCCUUUAAUGCCAUAGACUUUUGUUGGAUGUUCAUGAUGAGAUGGAUUUUGAAAACUAUUCCGCUGCUAUGUUUUCAUUUAUAAUAAGUUGAUUCGAUUUAAAUAGUUUUAUUUUCUAUUUAAGAAUUUUGAAAUGACGUGUAGCAUGCCCGUUGCGGGAUUACUCUGAUGUUUAUAUGCUAUUUAAUUGCUUUUGGGUAACGGGGUGUUACAAUUUGGUAUCAGAGCAGGUUGGUCCGUCCGGCCAAGUAGUAGAGUCUUGUUGAGCCACCUAGGAUAGAGUGUCAACUUUAAUGUUGCUUUUUGUUGUUGUCUUGUUGUUUGUUUGUUGUGUCUUGGUAUGAACUGGUUGGAGAAUAAUCAUGUUCAUAUCAAUUGGUUUAGUAAGACGGUGUACUUUACUUCUGCCGGAGAAGAGAGUAAAGCUGAGUUUGUGACUACGAAGCAGUUGUAGGAGUUGUUGAAUGAAGGUACUUCAGUGGUUGCUUUGACGACGUCUUUGUCGGUAGAAAAUCAAGCUGUGAUUGAUGGUUUACCUGUAGUGAAUGAAUUUCCAGAAGUAUUCCCUGAUGAGAUUCCUGAUGUGCCACCAGAGAGGGAGGUUGAAUUUUCAAUUGAUCUUGUUCCAGGAACUAAGCCGGUGUCGAUGGCACCGUACCGUAUGUCAGCUUCUGAGUUGGCUGAGUUGAAGAAACAGUUGGAGGACCUGUUAGAUAAGAAGUUUGUAAGACCCAGUGUUUCACCUUGGGGAGCACCGGUGUUGUUGGUCAAGAAGAAGGAUGGUAGUAUGAGACUGUGUAUAGAUUACCGUCAGUUGAACAAAGUUACGAUCAAGAACAGGUAUCCGCUUCCUAGAAUUGACGACUUGAUGGAUCAAUUGGUUGGUGCUAAGAUUUUUAGUAAGAUUGAUUUGAGGUCUGGUUAUCAUCAGAUAAAGGUGAAGGAUGAGGAUAUGCAGAAGACGGCCUUUAGGACACGUUAUGGUCAUUACGAGUACAAAGUGAUGCCUUUCGGUGUUACUAAUGCGCCUGGUGUUUUUAUGGAAUACAUGAAUCGAAUUUUCCAUGCCUUUCUGGAUAAGUUUGUUGUGGUAUUUAUUGAUGAUAUUCUAAUCUAUUCCAAGAAUGAGGAGGAACACGCAGAGCAUCUGAGAAUAGUGUUGCAAGUGUUGAAGGAAAAGAGGUUGUAUGCUAAGUUAUCAAAAUGUGAGUUCUGGUUAAAUGAAGUAAGUUUUCUGGGUCACAUUAUUUAUGGUAGUGGUAUUGCAGUGGAUCCUUCAAAGGUUGAUGCGGUAUCACAAUGGGAGACUCCGAAGUCGGUAACUGAGAUCAGAAGUUUUCUGGGUUUGGAUGGUUAUUACUGCAGGUUCAUAGAAGGGUUUUCGAAGUUGGCUCUUCCGUUGACACAGUUGACCUGUAAGGGUAAGUCUUUUGUGUGGGAUGCCCAGUGUGAGAGUAGUUUCAAUGAGUUGAAGCGAAGAUUGACAACUGCUCCUGUUUUGAUUUUGCCUAAACCAGAAGAACCGUUUGUUGUAUACUGUGAUGCAUCUAAGCUGGGCUUAGGUGGUGUUUUGAUGCAAGAUGGUAAGGUGGUAGCAUAUGCUUCUAGGCAGUUACGUGUUCAUGAGAAGAAUUAUCCUACACAUGACCUGGAGUUAGCUGCGGUGGUUUUUGUUUUGAAAAUUUGGAGGCAUUAUUUGUACGGAUCCAGAUUUGAGGUGUUCAGUGAUCAUAAAAGUUUGAAGUAUUUGUUUGACCAGAAGGAACUGAACAUGAGGCAGAGGAGGUGGUUAGAGUUAUUGAAGGAUUUUGAUUUUGGCUUGAAUUACCAUCCUGGUAAGGCCAAUGUGGUUGCUGACGCUUUAAGUAGGAAAACUUUGCACGUGUCUGCUUUGAUGGUGAAGGAGUUUGAAUUGUUAGAACAGUUCAGAGACAUGAGUCUUGUCUGUGAAUUGUCACCCCAGAGUAUACAGUUGGGAAUGUUGAAAAUUGAUAGUAACUUCUUAAACAGUAUCCGAGAAGCUCAGAAAGAGGAUUUGAAGUUUGUUGAUUUGAUGACUUCUGGUAAUGACACUGAGGAUAGUGAUUUCAAAGUUGAUGAUCAGGGUGUACUGAGGUUCAGAGGUAGAGUUUGUAUUCCUGACAACGAAGAGUUGAAGAAAUUGAUUCUUGAGGAGAGUCACAAGAGUAGGUUGAGUAUUCACCCAGGAGCUACGAAAAUGUACCAUGAUUUGAAGAAACUGUUUUGGUGGUCCGGUAUGAAAAGGGAUGUUGCUCAGUUUGUUUAUGCCUGUUUGGUUUGUCAGAAGUCCAAGGUUGAGCAUCAGAAGCCUGCAGGGUUGUUGACACCGUUAGAUGUACCAGAGUGGAAGUGGGACAUUAUCUCUAUGGAUUUUGUAACGAGUUUACCGAACACUCCGAGAGGGCAUGACGCUAUUUGGGUUGUUGUCGACCGGUUGACAAAGUCGGCACAUUUCAUUCCUAUUAAUAUCAGUUAUCCGGUAGCGCAGUUAGCAGAGAUUUAUAUUCACAGUGUGGUGAAGCUUCAUGGUGUUCCGUGUAACACCCCGUUUUCCCAACAUAAAAAUUCUUAAAAACAUUUAUCAGAGUAAGCAUCAUAAACAACGGGAUAUCACAUAAAACUUAAUCCAAAACAGUCAAAUAAUAAUUUAACCAAUAUCUUAAACAUUGCAGCGGAAAUUCAUAAAACGUUUUGGCACGCAGGCCCCAUCAAAAGUUCAUAAUCAUAAUCCAUAACAUUAUAAAAAUAACAUAUUAGUCACGUAAGAGAAUGAAGCAUGCAUAAACAUAAACCCCAUCCCGUUACGUAUCAGAGCGACCUAGACGACACAGUGAAGGCAAGGCCACUCACGACGGCAACUGCACACUAAGCACGAUCACCUGCAAGUUACCCAUACGAAGGGCAACAUUUUCAAGCAGAAGGGGUGAGAUUUCAUAAUACAAUAACAUUAAUCAAUGUAAUUGAGAAUCAUAAAUUAACAUCAUAUUCAUUCCAUUACUAACUUUGCAUAAUUGCUAAACAGUUAUCACGUAAUCAUAUAUCCAAUCAUUAGGAAUAACAUAUCAUAAUCAAUAAACACAUAUCACGUAAUCACAUAAUCAAUCAUCAUCAACAAGGCAUCUUAAUCAUGACACUGUGACAAUGCUCUUAGACUCCUUAUAUGCAUGUGGUACCAAUCGUCAUCAUAAGUAUUAAUAUACUUUAAUCGUGCGGAGGACAAAGCUCCUAUAAAACGUGCGGAGGACAAAGCUCCUAAUAUUCGUGGUGAGGACUAAGCUCAAUGAUAUGCUAUGCAUGGACACUUAUGAACAAAACACGUAAUCAUCGUAAUCAACAUGCAUCCAAUAAUUUGGAGCUAAACCUUAUCAUAUACAUAUGCACUUAGUUAAAUAACAGAAGCAGCAUAAACAAGUCACACAGCAAGAUGAUAUCAUUAUAUCAAUAGCACAUAAAUUGCAUUAUUAUCAAACCUUCGUAUCUUGCAUGAAUAUACAAUACAUUAGAUCAUACUCAAUUAAUAUCAAUAUAGUCUUAAACAACUCUACAGGCUGCAUUAAACGUCAUCACUAGGUCUCAAUACCAAUUAGGGGUUCACUCUUGAUCAACACAUGCGACACAGAUCGCACAAACACUCAAGCAACUACAUUCUGGUUGUACUCGCGAGGCGAGAGUACUUACUCGCCAUGGCGAGUAACACUGAUUCUCCCAAACUGAUGUUGUUCUGGGUUCAAUCCUGUCCUAAAAUCAUUCCUAAUCAAUACUAGGUAUGUUAUGGUACUCAAAGGCAUACAAGGUUCAACUAAAAAGGUCGAAACACGAAAUAUGACAUGCUCUCUGCCUAAGCUCGCGAGGCGAGGAAAGGUUGCUCGCCAUGGCGAGUUGCACCAGACAACUCGCGAGGUGAAGGGGAAAGGCUCGCGUGGCGAGCGAUGAAUCUUCAUCACUCGCGGGGCGAGGAUCAUAGCUCGCCGUGGCGAGCGAUGAAUGUCGCUACGGCCAGGCUUCCUAAAAUCACAAAAAUCCGACGUUUCACAUGGUUCUAAGCUUGGUUUUGAUUCCAGAAUUCAUCCUAAACAUAUUCUAAGGUUACAGGACAAUUCUUACAUCAAUCUAAACAAGUUUUACCGUUUAUUCUCAAAUUCUAGGGUUUUGACCUAAUUCCAAAACUUCUCUGAAUCAAUCCUAACUUGUCAACUAAUCAUCAGAAUUACAGAGGUUAAUGCUACUGAGUUAUUAGUCCCACCCUUACCUGGUUAUGAAGAAAAUCGCAGCCCUCUUGGUCUCUUGCUCCUCUCUAAGCUUUUUCUCCCUUUUCCAAAAGUUUUCACGUACAAUCAGUUUUUCUAACAAUUAGGUCUUCCCUAUUUAUAUCUCUUCCUAAUUACUUAUCUUAUCUCAAUUUCUCCCCCAAAACUAUCUAAAAUAUCAAAACAGCCCUCAACUAAAUAUUUUAUAUUAUUUUCAAAUCUUUAUUCUAUUUAUCAAUAAAAUAAAUCUCAUAUCAUAAUCAAAUCCUCCAAAACUCAUAACUUAUCACGUCAUCAAUCAUAUCAUCAAAACAUAUCAAAAUCAUGCAUAUAUUAUAUAAUUAUAAUAUAAUUGCCUAAACUCGAUUAAAUAACUAUUAAACGAAAGUGGGCGUUACAUUCCGUCUAGCAUUGUGUCGGAUAGAGAUCCGAGGUUCACUUCUAGGUUCUGGAAAAUUUUACAGGACGCCUUGGGUUCGAAGUUGAAGUUGAGUUCGGCUUAUCAUCCUCAAACAGAUGGUCAGUCGGAGAGGACAAUUCAAUCAUUGGAAGAUUUGUUGAGAGUGUGUGUGCUUGAGCAAGGUGGAGCUUGGGAUAGUCACUUGCCUUUGAUUGAGUUUACUUAUAACAACAGCUAUCACUCGAGUAUUGGUAUGGCACUGUUCGAAGCCUUGUAUGGUCGGAGGUGCAGGACUCCUUUAUGCUGGUUUGAGUCGGGUGAAAGUGUUGUGUUGGGACCGGAUUUGGUACAUGAGACUACUGAGAAAGUAAGGUUGAUAAGAGAAAAGAUGAAAGCUUCGCAGAGUCGACAGAACAGUUACCAUGACAAGCGAAGAAAGGAUCUUGAGUUUCAGGAGGGUGAUCAUGUUUUUUCUGAGGGUCACUCCUUUGACGGGUGUUGGACGUGCUUUGAAGUCGAGGAAGUUGACUCCUAAGUUUAUUGGUCCGUAUCAGAUUUCUGAGAGAGUUGGUACUGUGGCAUAUAGAGUUGGUUUGCCACCACAUCUUUCGAACUUGCACGAUGUGUUUCAUGUUUCUCAGCUUCGGAAGUAUGUUGCGGAUCCUUCUCAUGUGAUUCCGAGGGAUGAUGAUGUACAGGUUAGAGACAACCUGACAGUUGAGACUAUGCCAUUGAGGAUUGAUGACAGGAAGGUGAAGUCCUUGAGAGGUAAAGAAAUACCUCUUGUGAGAGUCGUUUGGGGUGGAGCGACUGGUGAAAGUUUGACUUGGGAGCUGGAGAGUAAGAUGCGGGAGUCGUAUCCGGAGUUGCUUGCUUGAGGUAAGAUUUCAAGGACGAAAUUCUGUAAUUUGGGGAGAGUUGUAACGCCCUAGUUAUUUAAUUAAUUAUUUUAUUAUGAGGAGUAUAUAUAUAUAUAUAUAUAUAUAUAUAUAUAUAUAUUAUUAUAUAUGAUGUUUGGUGAUUUAUGUGGAGUAUAUGCAUAUAUUUAUUCAUAUGUGAUUUUUGGAUGUUCUAUGUGGUACAUUAUUUUACUAUAUGGUUUAGUUAAUAAUAAUUAAAAUAAGUAUGAAAUAUUAGUUAUUUUGGAGUUUGGAGAGUUAUUUAAUAAUUAUUAAAAUUCAUGGGGAGCUAAUAGAAAUAUUAGGGAGUUAAGUAAUGGGAAGUUAGGAAAAGAGAAGUUAGAAGCUUUGUACGUGAAAACUGUCAAGUUGGGAGAAAGGGAGAGAAGAGCAAGUAUAACCCAGAGAAUUCAAUUGCUGUGCAUUUCUUCUGCAAUUUUAAGGUAAGGGUGGGAUUUACUUCAAGUAUGUAGUUAUUGAAUUCUGAUUUUGUGUUUAACAGAGUGUUGGUGAGAAUUUGGGAAAUUGAGUUUUUAUGAUAAAAUGAUGAUUUUGAAGUUGUAAGCAUGAUUUUGGGGUUAGAAUUAGGUUCUGGUUGCAUAGAACACUUAAUUAUGUAUCUGUAAACUGAUUUGGGGAGUGAUUGGAAGAAAAAUGGGAUUUUGGGGAAAAACCAGUUUUCUGCCCGUACUGAUGUUCAUUGCUCGCCUCGCGAGCAUUCAUGUCUCGCCUCGCGAGUGAACAACAUCAUUACUCGCCUCGCGAGCAAUCCAACUCGCCAUGGCGAGUAGCCCAGAAUAAAACUUGAUUUUUGAAAAGUUGUUAUAAGAUGUUUUGGGGAUGGUUUAAGGUACCUAGAUGAUUUUAAUGAUGAAUGGUGGAAGUUUUAGGUUAAAAAGAUGAAUAGGGAACUUAGAAAUGGAGUUUGAGUGAGAAAAUGUCACUUUUUCCCGAGAGCACCCGUUUUUCACUCGCCUCGAGUUCGCCUUGAACUCGCCAUGGCGAGAUAGGAAUUUUGUGAACUCGCCAUGGCGAGCAGAUGUGCUCGCGAGGCGAGCUAGUGCAGUUUGAGUGCAGUUUUGCUUGCUUGAUUAAUGAGGUUUGAGUGUUGUUGUUUAAGCAUAAUCGUAUUUAAUUGUGCAUCAUUCUGAAUGGUUGAAUCUCUGUUGGAUGUUGAUUGAUGAUGAGGAAUGUAUUGUAUGUUUUAAAUAUUAAUCAUACAUGUUGUUUUAAUUGGAGUCACAUGGAGUUGCAUUGCAUGGUCAGUUGUAUGUAGAUAUACACAAGUAGGUCCAUUGCAUAUGCAUAAAACAGCGGUGAGGGCUUCGGUCCUGGAGUACUAGUUACUCAACAGCGGUGAGGGCUUCGGUCCUGAUGAAUGCUUUAACCAUUCAAAAGCGGUGAGGGCCUCGGUCCUGAUUGGUACCACAUGCAUAAUUGCAUUUCAUUAAGAAGUCUAAGAUGGUGUCUUAGCAGUGGUCAUGUCAUUUGCAUGGGUCUCGGUUGUUAUUUCAGUUAUUACCUGGUUGAUGUUGAUGUUGGAUAUACAUUCAUAUAUAUAUGUAUUCAUUGUGGUUUUGGUGUAUUGUUGAUGUUGUUGAAGUUAUGUACAUUGUAUACAUACCUGUUAAAUGGAUGAUUAUGAUGAUGUUGCUGUGUCUUGUGAAUAGUUAUGAAUAUUACAAAAUGUUAUAUUUGAAGUUAUAGGGUGUUAGAUUCAUUUGAAGAUUUAAUAUCUAUAUUGUUGUUGUGAAUCUCACCCCUUCUGCUUGAAAACGUUGUCCUUCCUAUGGGUAACUUGCAGGUGAUCCUGAGUAGUUGGUGGUGGCUCAUUGUCGUGUCUAGGGCUCUGAUACGUGGGAUGAGAAUAUUGAUUAUCUUUGUUGUUGUUGCUUUUCCUUUCCAUGUAUCAAAUUUUGGAACUUGUGGUGUGGAGCCUUUUGUUGUCUUUGAACUAUGAUGUUGGAUUAUGUUAAGGCCUUUAAUGCCAUAGACUUUUGUUGGAUGUUCAUGAUGAGAUGGAUUUUGAAAACUAUUCCGCUGCUAUGUUUUCAUUUAUAAUAAGUUGAUUCGAUUUAAAUAGUUUUAUUUUCUAUUUAAGAAUUUUGAAAUGACGUGUAGCAUGCCCGUUGCGGGAUUACUCUGAUGUUUAUAUGCUAUUUAAUUGCUUUUGGGUAACGGGGUGUUACAUUGGGACCGGUGCAGGAAGAUAUAGUGGGAUUCUGCAUCUUCAUGCCCAUGCUUUGAGGGAUUGUGUGGUCCUUGUACUGUACCAACUCCCAUAUGUGUCUAUCUCUUAUUGAUCAAGACAGAUUUGCUUUUUGCUUUUCACCUACUGUACUGUUCAUAAAGUAAGCAUGUGCUGAGCUGAACAUUCUGACCAUCAGAAUGUUUAAUAUUCAUAAUGUUCUUCAUCUGGGUUCAUCAAGGAUGAAUGUCUGAUGAGUUUCUGGGUCCAUCCAAUACGUGACAUGAGAUUUGUUCAAGUUUUAUCCUUCAAAAGUUACUUCUCCAUUGCAUCAAAAGUUGCUUGAAAAAGUAGGAUAAAGUUGAUUAAAUCUGUCUUGGAUUUGGUGCAGGAAAGAGAGGAUAGUGGAUCUGCAAUCUUCAGGCCCAUGCUUCAAGGAGAUUUGCUUGAUUCAUCUCAGAGUACACGUUAUCUUUGAUGCAAGAUCUCUUUUGCUAGCUUUUCCAUCUUUCCACCAACUACACUGUUCAUGGCUGGAAGCAUGUGCAGAAGUGAACAUUCUGAUCUCAGAAUGUUCCAUUUGUUCUUACUUUAGGUUGAUUUAUAAGACUUAACUUUUAAUGUAAUCAAACCUAAUAGUAAGAUACAACUGAAGUGCAGUGAAUGCAUCAUCUAGGACAAUAUUCUCUUUGGAAUAUUCCUAGUACUUUAAUGUUCAUAGUCUUGGAUGAACAUUAAAGAUCCUUUUGACAUAGAUCCUUGUCCAUGCCUUUAUUUGUUGAUAGAUCCAUGCAGAUGUACUUUUCUGGACCUUUUAUUCAUGUCAAGUGUACUUGCAUGCUCUUCACGUUCUUGAUGAAUCUGGGUAGCUUCUGAACAACCUUCUGAACUGGGUUGCUUCUGAACUCUCAUCAGAACGUUCUGAUCAACUCUCUGAUCAACAUUCUGAACUAACUUUCUGAACUUCAGAAUUAGUUCAUGGAUUCAAUGUCCUUUGAUUUUAUGCAUCUUGGUAUGAUUCAAACCUUGUUCUUGUCUUAGUGAAAACACUCAAGAGCACAAGUUAAAUACCAAGGAAUUAAUCAAAGUCCAUUUAAUCCUUAAUCAUUAAAGUUUAUUAUCUUUAAAAUUAAUUAGGGAUUUUGCCUCAACAUCCACUUAAUUCAAAAACACACUGAAAUUCACAGUUGACGUUCCUGUGUUUUUCAUCUCUUCUCCUUCCUUCGACUUGUGUUGACAAGUCCUUCUCCUUUUUCUACUCCUUUCUGUCCCUUUGGAAAUAAGAGUGUUCUUAAGACCAUAGUCCCUUUUCGGUUUAAUGUCCCUUCGGAAUUAAGAAUGGUCUUGAAACAUAGUCCAUUCGAUAAUAUAUGUCCCUUCAGAAUAAAGAGUACUUUUAAGAUCAUAGUCCCUAUUUGGAAUAACAAUGUCCCGUCGGAAUUAAGAAUGAUCUUAACGGUAUAUAUAAAAAGUAUUUCAAUAUUUUUCUAUUUGAGGAGAAAUGGUGGUAUCACCAUAUUUAAGUGGUCGUAGUACCAUAUUGAUAGUUUAGAGAACUUAAAGUUAGAAUGAUAUUAACACCAUAUUUGAGUGGUCUCAACAUUUGUAGCAGUGCUUGUUUUAUCCUGGAGGUGGCGUGGUUGAUAGUCUGCCUUGCACAAUUUUGGACAAUUUCGUGACUCAACCUAAUACAACUUCGGUAGAUAAUAGAAUUUGGAAAUCCAAAUACAACAAUUUGAAAAUCCAAAAACAACAUAAAUGUAGUUAAACUUAUUAUUUUCAUAUAGUACUAAGUUGUUUUCAUUAGCCGUCAUUGGAAGCUUGCAGAAAUAAGCUAUAAAUAGCUUAUGGACAUCAUGCCAUGUUAUAAGUCCUCCUUAAUACUUAAAUGAUCACUUAUGUCAUAAGGUAAACCUAAAUAAACUGUAAACUAUAUAUCAUUUUCAGUGUAGUUCCUAGUUUCAUCAUUAUUGGUGUAUUGGAUUACAGUUGGAUGCGGUCAAUUUGGUUCUGUUUGGACUUAAUGCUAUCUUAAGUAAAUUAGUCUAAUCUAGUAAUUUAAUUGUUAAAGAAGUGCAUUGUGCAUGAUAUGUUGUGUUGUCAUGAUAUGCUAUGCCUAUUUCAUAGUGCAUGUAAGACUUGCAACAAGAAAGUUACCGAAAGCACGGGUCAGAAUUGCUAUAUGCUCAGAAUGGGGCAGAAGUGUCUUCUUAAGCUACUUAGAGGCAACCUGAGCUUGAUUGAAGCAAGGAGCAAUAUUUAGGAAGCAGGUAAUGUUUUAUGCUCUUGAAAUUGCAAUCACAAGUUUGAAGUCGUGAUUGUUGUAUUUAUUUGUUGAUUGAUUUCGAAAUUCAUGCUGCAGGCACGUGAGAAGUUUAUGUCAUUGAGAAAAAGCACUAAGUUUGAUGAUGCCACUGCCACAGAUGAGGGAAGUCCAGUGGCUCAUAUUUGGCAUAGUUUUGACUCUAGGUUCAUGUCAAAAUAGGAAGCUUGUUUCAAUAUGGUAAUAUUAGUGGACUGUAUCAUUGAAUAUUCUGUGAUUUUUUUUCUAUAAUUUUUAUUUUUAUGGUUCUGAAAUACAUUAUUUUUUUUAAAUAAAUAAACCAAUUUUUUGCCGAAUUACCAACGGAUUGGUGUUCUAUUUUAACGUUUCAUCGCGCUUACGGGCAAGAGGACUCCUCAAAACCUGACCGAAUGUUUACUGAGAUUUUUUCACUUUUUUUGCGGAUGUACUUUUCUUGCAGAUCCUAAAAUCCUAAUGGGUGUUUGGAUUGAGGGUUUAGGAGGGGAGGUGGACCGUCAAUAUAUUCCUAAGGGUCUAAAAGCUAUCUAGAAAGGCUCAGGCAUCCUCCGGGAGGGCUCCUAAAGUCUAGGCGCCGCCUUAUCCAACUUCUAGAAACACCUAGAACUGGGUGAAAAGACCCAAAGCCCAACUUAAUUAGGGCUUAAGUCACACUAUAACCAGCCCACAAAGGGCUAUAAAUACCACUAUUGAGAUCAUUCUUAAGGCAUCACAUAAACAGAAAGGGAGAUGAUAGUUUACUUUUCGUUUUUAAAUUAUGGACUAUAUAAAAGUUUUUUAAAAAUAAAUUAUGUGUGAUUGAAGUAUUAUAUGAUCGUUUAUCAUGUUAAUAUGUUAACUUUUUAUAAAACAUUUCAGUGUCUGUAGUUUAAAAAUGAAAAGUAAACCAUCCUCUCCCUUUCCCUCGUAAACCCUCCAUCCAAACACACCCUAAGGAAACAACUACCCACGAAGGUAUUACCUGGGAAUCAAAAUCCUUAGCAAAAUCUGUAGGAGACCCUUUUCUUGCGGAAUUUGUACCAAAAUUCGUAGAAAAAUCGAGAAUUUAUAGUAGUAUAAGUAUAUGUACAUGGAGUACAAUUUUAGACAUCCGCAACAUGCUUUACACAUAAAUAUACACAUAAGUUCAUUGUCAAAUGUCACAGUAAAUAAGUCAAAGGUCACAGUAAAUAACAAGUUUCAUGUUGACAAAGGGACAGGGGCGGAGCCACCCCCUCAGCUCCAAUUUUCUUUCUAGCAAGUCCAGCUAUUACUAGAACUUUUAUCUUUUCCUGCGGAGUUACCUGCGAAUUGUUAUGUAAAUUUCAUAGGAAACACAUUUCCUGUAGAUUCCGCAGGAAAUGUGAAAUUAUUCGCAGGAAGGAAGUAACAUUUUGCAAUAAUUUUUUUGCCCAGGCUCUAUAAAAUUUCUGGCUCCACCACUGGAGACACCAAUAUAUCUAAUUGUUACGGUUAACAUUAAAAAAUGGGUUCUUUUUCAAAAAACAUUAAAAAAAUGGGUUAAAUAAUGUUUUACUCCCGAUAUUUGAGCGAGUUUUGAAAAAAUCCCUGUAAAAUAAUUUUUUAUAGAUCCCCUUUGUAAUUUAAAAAGGAGAAAACUUAGGUACAAUUCAUUCCGUGCUUUUUGUACGGUUCUUAACUAAAUUCACCAUGACUUCCUCAAAUUCAUAAUUUUCUCAAAGUUUGUUAUAACAAAAAAAUAUGUAUUUUUAGUCAAGAACCAUACAAAAAGCAGAAUUGUACCUAAGUUUUCUCCAUUUAAAAAUUCCAUCUAAAACAACUUUGACCUCAGCUGACUAGGCAACUAAACUAAUGUGGCACGCUGACUGGACAAAUUAGUUUAUCUUUCAAUUUUUUUAAAAUCCAUCUCACAUUUUUGAAAAAAAAUUAAAAUGAAAAUUAGAUUAUUAUUAUAAAACAAAAGGAAGAAUCGCAAAACCUAAUGUGCUUUUUCAUUAACUAAAGCACAUUAAUGCACUUCAUUCCCCCCCUAAUGUUUUUAACUAAAGUCAAAACCUAAUGAAAAACAUUAAUCGCAAAACCUAAUGAAAAACAUUAAUCGCAAAACCUAAUGUUCUUAACUAAAGUCAAAACCUUUGCUCAAAAAAAACUAAAGUCAAAACCUAAAGUACUUCUUCAGAAUAGCAAAACAUUUUUUUUUAUCCCCUUCUAAAACCUAAAUAAAUAACUAGAAAAAAAAAAAAGGAAAAUAGAAGAAGAACUGACGGAAGAAAAAGAAAGAUGCAAGAAGGAAGAAGAAGAAUCGACGGAAGAAGGAAAACGAGGGUUAGGCUUUACAUAAACUCCAUAUUUGCAUGAUAACCUAUGUGGAACAUACUUUAUUAAUGAUACCCUUCUUAAAACAGCGUUAUAUGCUUGCUGAGAGUACUAAAGAAUUAGUGGAAACAAGGAAGAGUAAGAAAGGAUUAUGUUGUACCAAAUCCUCACUAGUUAAUUUGAUGAGGUCAAUGCUGUUUUUUAUGGAGAGAAAAAAAAUGAAAGGGGGAUCUAAAUUUUUUAUUUCACAGGGGUUUUCAGAAAGGGAGAAAACAUUAAUUAACCCCUUAUAUUCAAACCAAAAAUUUUAGAGGCUGGAAGAUCUUGGUGUGUGUGAUUUGAAUCUGCUUCAUUUGCAAAAAUGUUGGGCUGAAAAACAAAAAUUGUUUCAUGUUUGAUCUGAAGACUGAAGAUUGUUUAGGACACAAGACACAAAUGAGACAGGACAAAAAUAAGGGUCUUUGUGAGAAAUAGCAAAUCAUUAUUGAGAAGAAUAAAUUAAAAUUCAACUUUAAGAGAAAUAAAUCGACACAAUUUUCAAUAUAGAAAUUCUAAUUUUAGUACAUUAACAUGUGCCCUAAAAAUAAACAAUUAUUUAGUGCCACACCAACACUUCUCAACACUUUCUGAUCAAUUGAAAUUUAAAUGGGUCUAUGUUUAUGCCGGGUUUAUAUUAUUUAGUGAGAUACAUUUAAUUUUUAUUCGAUUAGAGUGUGUUAAAGCGAGUGUUUGAAAGUGAGUUGAUAACAAUUUUAAAAUCUAAUACUCCGGUCUUAAAUUUAAGCAAAAAAAUUCUCUUAUCAGAAUUCAUAUUAAUUGAAUAACUGAUUAGAUAAGUUAUUCAAUGAACGUGAAAAAAAAAUCUUUUUUUUUUUUGUGUCCAGUAGUCUAGUGGCUAUAGCUCACACAAUUAAAUGUGGAUAAGUGGGGUGUCUGGAGUUCGAACCUCGGCCUCUGCAUAAAUUAUGCAAUGUCCCUGCCAAUGUGAGAAAAAAAAAAUCCCUUAAUAAAUAAAUAAAUAACAUAAAUGCACCAUUUAGCAAGCUAGAGGAUUGGUAUUCUUUUUUAUCAUCUACGGACCCAGGAAAAGAUGUCUUGUUUCUCUAUUUCAUAUGUUAAACUUCAUAAUAGAUACGAAUAACUUCACAUGGGAUUCGAAUCCACUUGAGUUGGUUUGAUCAUGUUGGUUUGAGACAUUGUAGUGUGAUGAUCCUCUCAAAGGUCUUAAAUUCGAUUCACUCUGAUGUCAAUUUCGAUGGAUUAGAUUGACUUAAAAAAACUUCAUAUUGGAUCUAGUGUAGUUUAUAGACCGUUGAACUUCACUAAUUAACGCAUUCCACUGUCAACAUACUCCAUCCGUCUCUAAAUAUAAGUAAAUUUUACUUUUUAAGUUCAUUCAAUUAAUGAUGUAUGUGGUUCAUAAUAUAAACUACAUACAUUAUUAAUUGAAUGAAUCUAAAAAAUAAAAUUUGCUUAUAUAAAAAACAGAGCACAUUAUAAAUGACAUACAUUACAGGUCUUCUUCGAUAAAAAGCAAAAGCCGUUGAUAAUAACUGCCCGUUUGAUGUCUACAUGUGAUUGGCAACAAGUUGGUACUAGUUUUGUUGAUUUUGUCCAAAAAAAAAUUCUAUGAUUGUACAUAUAUACUUUUUAUUUUUUUUUGUCACAAAUAGAGUUUAUAGUUCAAAUUUAUAUCAUUAUAUAAUGAAAACUGUAAAUUAACUACCGUUGGUAAUCAAUUUUGAUCGAAUUUUUUUUAUAGACAAAUAUACUCUUAACAUUUUAAUUAACUUUUUUAAAUUUAAUUUUUCAAUAGGCCGAACCGGUCUACUGAAAUUUGUGUUGGAGAUAAUUGAAUUUUGGACUUUGAAAGAAGUAAACUGCAAUAUUUUAAGUCAAUCACCAUAGGAGUCAAAAAAUUAACUACUAAUUUUAGUCAAUCUUUUUCAAAAAGUUUUCUUUUUGCAAUAUAAUUUUUUUUUAAAAUUCAAAUUUGUAUUAAAAAAAACAUGAAUAUAUCCUGUCAUUUUUAUUUACUCAUUAUAUUAUAUUAUAUAAAUAAUAUAUCAAUAAAAAAAAAAUAGUGUGUCUUUUCCGUUAUGGAUUUCCUGGAACAUAUCGUCGUAUUUUCAAUGAGUUCGUAUGGAAAGUAUUCAGUCCCUCAUGCUACAAGCUCACCCUAACCCAAUUUUUUUUCCCCUUUUUAUCUGCAAGGUUUGGUGGUUUGAGGGUUAUUUUUGUUGUAUUUGUUGCUCAUUUAUUUGUAGUGAUAGGGAUUUUCAAUUCUGAUUGUGGAAAUUUUUGUCUAUUGUUGUUUUGUUGGUUGACUGAUUGUUUAUCGAGUAGAUAGUCAUUUGGAUUCUGAAUGUGGAAGACACUGUUACUACCAUCUUCGUUUGAAUGUAUCAAAAUUAGAAAAACAUCUCCAAAUAUAUAUUUCGUUAGUUGGUUUGAUUCUUUGAAGUGUCGUUUGUUAAUAAGUUAAGUCCUUGAAUGUGUUGUCCACUAUGAAGCUCGAAUACGUAGUGCGGGUGGGAGGUGUGAUAUAUGAUACAAAUGCGUGAUUUUUUUUUUUUUUUUUUUAAAUUUAGAAUAUGAUACGAGCUAGAUAUGUUAACAAGUGAUUCUGAUGAUGAUGUAAGUUUUAUCCCUUUUUAUCUGCGAGAUAGGUUUGGUACUUUGAGUGUAUGCAUUUAUGAGGUCUCUUUUUGUUAUAUUUGUUGCUCAGUUGCUUGUAGUGAUAGAGAUUUUCAACGCUGAUCUAGUAGCUUUUUGUAGCAAUUUUUGUUUGUUUCGUUUUGUUGGUUGACUGAUUGUUUAUUGAGUAAAUAGCCAUCUGGGUCCAUGAAUGUGUUGGGCGUUUUACACCGUCCUUGAAUUUUCAAAAUUACAAUUGCAAAAAAUCCUCAAAUAUAUCUUUCGUUUGGCGUUUUGAUCCUCAAACGUGUCUUUUGUUUGUGAAUAUGGUCGUUGAAUGUAUCGAACAUUAAUCGAGAGUUGAGACACAUUUAUGGAUGUUUAUAUAAAUUUGAUACAGUCAAGGACUUUAGCGAUACGGUCUCGCUCAUUUGAGAACCAAAAUGACUGUUUACUCUUUGUUUAUCCUCAUUAUUUAUCUGUUUAUGGUUUUUGUUGAAUUUGGCUUCAAAUUUGUGGUCUGGAAGAACAGAGUAAUCGUGACACGAUUUGGUAAUCGUGACACGAUCUGAGAUGCCGUGAGCCAAGUUUUGAUGGAGGCAAAUCGUGGCACGAUCUUGGGAAAUUGUGACACGAUCUAGAAACUUGCUGGUUAAGUAUCUCUGAUAAGGACUGGUUAACCAGAGGACCGUUGCAGAUCGUGACACGAUCUAGGGAAAUCAUGGCACGAUUUCUUCAGGGCAGGACUAGUAUAUAUUGUGUUCUUGUGCUUUUUUGAAGAGAACCUUAAGAUGGCUUAAGAGAGAAAACUUGGAGAUCAAAGAGGGGAUCCUAUGGGGUGUGUUCCUUUGAUGUGAGUGUUUCUUAGGUUGGGAAAACAUUGUAAUCACCUUGGGAUUUUGGGUUCAUAGUGUGAGAGUGGGAAAAUACCAAAGGGUAGUUCUAGGGUUUGUUCAUGUGUAAAGCUUGAUAAGCUAGAUACUUGUAACCUUUUGUAACACUUUCACAUAUUGGAUUGGAGAGCUGCUCUCUCCCCCAGAUUAGGCCACAUUGGCUGAACUGGGUCAACAAUCUUGCUCGGUGUUUUGUUCUUUCCAUUUACCGUUUAUCUUGUUUAUGCUUGUUAGCUCUUAGUGUGGUUUUGCUAUACACAAGUCAUAGGCUGUUUUGUUGUUGUUAGCUUGGAGGCCAUUUGCUCUCAUAGAUUAUCACUAUCACUUGCUCCACACAUCUUUGGUUUAUUAUCAUUGGUGUGAAGAUUUGAUUAGUUGAACCGGAUUCACAACAAUUGGCGCCCACCGUGGGGCAUAGGCGUGAUUGAUAGUUGGUAUCAUGGGGUCAAAGUGGGACAUCGAGAAGUUCACCGGAAGUAAUGAUUUCGGGUUAUGGAAGGUUAAGAUGGAAGCGGUUUUGACUUAACAAAAAUGUGUAGAAGCAUUGAAGGGUGAAGCGGCGAUGCCGGCAACCUUGACACAAGAGGAGAAGCGUGAGAUGGUAGACAAGGCAAAGAGUGCUAUUGUCUUAUGUCUCGGAGAUAAGGUCUUAAGGGAUGUCGCGAGAGAAGCUACCGCGACAUCGAUGUGGGCGAAGUUGGAGUCAUUGUAUAUGACGAAAUCUUUGGCUCAUAGGCAACUCUUGAAGCAACAACUCUAUUCAUUCAAGAUGGUGGAGUCUAAAUCGAUCUCGGAGCAACUAACGGAGUUUAACAAGAUUCUUGAUGAUUUGGCCAACAUUGAAGUUAACAUGGAAGAUGAGGAUAAGGCUUUGUUGUUACUUUGUUCAUUACCAAAGUCCUUUGAGCAUUUCAAGGAUACCAUCCUUUAUGGUAAGGAGGGCACUACUACUUUGGAGGAGGUCCAAGCGGCUUUGAGAACCAAAGAAUUGACCAAGUUCAAGGACAUGAGGGUUGAUGAAGGUAGUGAAGGCUUGAAUGUUACAAGAGGGAGGAAUGAGCAUAGAGGAAAAGGCAAAGGGAAAUCAAGAUCCAAGUCUAGGUCCAAGGGCUUUGACAAAUCAAAGUAUAAAUGCUUUCUUUGUCACAAGCAAGGUCAUUUCAAGAAAGAUUGUCCGGAUAAGGGGGGCGAAGGUGGUCCCUCGGUUCAAGUUGCGGAGGCUUCAAAUGAAGAAGGUUAUGAGAGUGCGGGUGCACUAGUGGUAACAAGUUGGGAACCAGAGAAGAGUUGGGUUUUGGACUCGGGAUGCUCUUAUCACAUGAUUCCUAGAAUGGAAUAUUUUGAGACUUUGAUUCUAAAAGAAGGAGGAAUUGUUCGACUCGGAAAUAACAAAGCUUGCAAAGUCCAAGGCAUGGGCAACGUUCGUCUAAAGAUGUUUGAUGGCCGUGAAUUCCUUUUAAGGGAUGUGAGGUUUGUUCCCGAACUUAAGCGAAAUUUAAUUUCCAUAAGCAUGUUUGAUAAUCUAGGUUAUUGCACUAGAAUAGAGCAUGGGGUUUGUAAAAUUUCGCAUGGUGCAUUGAUUACUAUUAAGGGGUCUAGAAUGAAUGGUUUAUACAUUUUAGAUGGUUCCAUAGUAAUUGGUAAUGCAUCGGUAGCUAGUGUUGCAUCUCAUAAUAAUUCUGAAUUGUGGCAUUUGAGAUUGGGGCAUGUUAGUGAGAGGGGUUUAGUUGAACUAGCUAAACAUUGGACAAGCUAGAAUUUUGUGAACAUUGCAUACUAGGCAAACAACAUAGGGUGAAGUUUGGGAGUGGCAUGCAUCAUUCUAGUAGACCUUUUGAGUAUGUGCAUUCGGAUCUUUGGGCUCCUUCUAAGACUCCUACUCAUGGGGGAGGUUCCUAUUUUCUUUCUAUCAUUGAUGAUUAUUCUAGGAGAGUGUGGGUCUUUGUUUUGAAAAACAAAAGUGAUACCUUUGAAAAGUUCAAAGAAUGGCACACUCUCAUAGAAAAUCAAAUGGGAACUAAACUAAAAGGUUUGAGAACUGACAAUGGCCUGGAGUUUGUUUCAGAGCAGUUUAAUGAGUUUUGCAGGUUGAAAGGAAUCAAGAGGCAUAGAACCGUACCAAGAACACCUCAACAAAAUGGUCUUGCGGAACGCAUGAAUAGGACUCUUUUGGAGCGUGUGAGGUGUAUGAUUCUAGGAGCUGGGUUACCUAAGAGUUUCUGGGGUGAAGCCGUGACAACAGCUGCUUAUUUGAUCAAUAGAUGUCCAUCAACGGGGAUAGACUUCAAGACACUUAUGGAGGUAUGGAGUGGGAAACCGGUGGAUUACUCCUCUUUGAAGGUUUUCGGAGCUUUGGCAUAUGCGCAUAUCAAGCAAGACAAGCUUGAGCCUAGAGCUUUGAAAUGUGUCUUCAUUGGUUAUCCGGAAGGUGUGAAGGGGUACAAGUUGUGGAAAUUGGAAUCUAGUGGAGGAUCAAGAGUCGUGAUAAGUAGGGAUGUUACCUUUGAUGAGACCCGGAUGGGGAUGAAGUGUAAAGACCUAGAGACUCAAGUACCGGAAACUAUGGUGGAGAAAACUCAGUUUGAGGUGGAGCUUCCAAAUGAAGAAGAAGAAGAUGAAGCUUCGAUAUCGGAUACAAGUGGAACUCAACCGGUGGUGGAUCCUAAGUAUCUAUUGGCAAGAGAUAGAGAAAGAAGGACCAUUACGGCUCCUAAGAGAUUCGGUUAUGCGGACUUGGUGUGUUUUGCUCUAAAUGCGGCGGAAGAUGUGCAAGACUCGGAGCCUAGAAACUUCAAGGAGGCAUUUGAGAGCAAAGAGAGCAAGUAUUGGUUGAAGGCGGUGAAUGAAGAAAUGGAUUCAUUGGAAAGGAACCAAACUUGGAAACUUGUGAAGCUACCUAAUCACCAAAGGGUAGUUGGAUGCAAGUGGAUCUUCAAGAAAAAGGAUGGCAUUCCGGGUGUUGAAGGUCCAAGGUAUAAAGCAAGACUUGUGGCAAAGGGUUUCACUCAAGUGGAGGGGAUCGACUACAACGAGAUCUUUUCACCGGUGGUGAAGCAUUGUUCCAUAAGGAUACUUAUGGCUAUUGUGAAUUAAUUCAAUCUUGAGUUGGAACAAAUGGAUGUGAAGACCGCUUUCUUACAUGGUGACCUUGAAGAGACAAUCUACAUGGAGCAACCAGAAGGUUUUGUGGAGGACAAGUCUAAGGCGUGUCUUUUGAAGAAAUCUUUGUAUGGGUUGAAGCAAAGCCCUAGGCAAUGGUAUCGUCGGUUUGAUGAGUUUCUUUUGAAGACCGGUUUUGUGAGAAGCGGAUAUGAUUCUUGUGUGUACAUGUUGAAGAAGAGUGAGAAAGUCAUUCUCUAUCUUCUUUUAUAUGUGGAUGACAUCUUGAUGGCGAACUCUAGCAAGGAUGAGAUUAUGAAGCUCAAGGAGAGGUUAAAUGGUGAAUUUGAGAUGAAAGAUCUUGGUCCGGCAAAGAGAGUCCUUGGGAUUGAUAUCAAGAGGAAUCGUGACAAAGGCGAACUUUUCUUAUCUCAACUUGGUUAUUUGAAGAAGGUGGUGGAGCGGUUUAGAAUGUCAAACUCUAAAACCGUGAGCACUCCCUUGGGUCACCACACAAAGUUGUCCAUACAACAAUGUCCUCAAUCCGAGGAUGAGAAGCAAUUGAUGGAAGGUACUCCCUAUGCAAGUGGGGUUGGAAGCAUCAUGUAUGGAAUGGUUUGUAGUAGGCCGGACUUGGCUUAUGCAGUUAGCAUUGUGAGUCGGUUUAUGGCAAAUCCGGGAAUUGUGCAUUGGCAAGCUUUGAAGUGGGUUUUGAGGUAUUUGAAUGGGUCGUUGAAGGGCGGUUUGAAGUACACAAGGGCAGCUCAAGAUGAAGACGCUUUGGAGGGGUAUGUUGAUGCGGAUUAUGCGGGCAACGUGGACACUAGAAAAUCCUUGUCGGGUUUUGUGUUUACUCUUUAUGGCACGACGAUUAGUUGGAAGGCAAAUCAACAAUCCGUGGUGGCAUUAUCUACAACUCAAGCGGAGUACAUUGCACUUGUUGAAGGUGUGAAGGAGGCCAUAUGGUUGAAAGGGAUGAUUGGUGAGUUAGGAAUUACUCAAGAAUGUGUGAAGAUACAUUGUGAUAGUCAAAGUGCCAUUCACUUGGAAAAUCAUCAAGUGUAUCAUGAAAGGACAAAGCACAUUGACAUUCGCCUGCACUUUGUCAGAGACAUGAUUGAAACAAAAGAGAUUGUGGUUGAGAAAGUGGCAUCGGAGGAGAAUCCGGCGGAUGUGUUCACCAAGUCAUUGCCUCGAUCAAGAUUCAAGCAUUGCUUGGACUUGAUCAAGUUUGUCGAAGAGUAAUUCCCUUUUGGAGAGAGCAGCAUGGUGGUUGAUGGUUAAAUUGACAUCACCACCAAAUUAGAAGUCAAGGUGGAGAAAUGUUGAAUUUGGCUUCAAAUUUGUGGUCUGGAAGAACAGAGUAAUCGUGACACGAUUUGAUAAUCGUGACACGAUCUGAGAUGCCGUGAGCCAAGUUUUGAUGGAGGCAAAUCGUGGCACGAUCUUGGGAAAUCGUGACACGAUCCAGAAACUUGCUGGUUAAGUAUCUCUGAUAAGGACUGGUUAACCUGGGGACCGUUGCAGAUCGUGACAUGAUCUAGGGAAAUCGUGGCACGAUUUCUUCAGGGCAGGACUAGUAUAUAUUGUGUUCUUGUGCUUUUUUGAAGAGAACCUUAAGAUGGCUUAAGAGAGAAAACUUGGAGAUCAAAGAGGGGAUCCUAUGGGGUGUGUUCCUUUGAUGUGAGUGUUUCUUAGGUUGGGAAAACAUUGUAAUCACCUUGGGAUUUUGGGUUCAUAGUGUGAGAGUGGGAAAAUACCAAAGGGUAGUUCUAGGGUUUGUUCAUGUGUAAAGCUUGAUAAGCUAGAUACUUGUAACCUUUUGUAACACUUUCACAUAUUGGAUUGGAGAGCUGCUCUCUCCCCCAGAUUAGGCCACAUUGGCUGAACUGGGUCAACAAUCUUGCUCGGUGUUUUGUUCUUUCCAUUUACCGUUUAUCUUGUUUAUGCUUGUUAGCUCUUAGUGUGGUUUUGCUAUACACAAGUCAUAGGCUGUUUUGUUGUUGUUAGCUUGGAGGCCAUUUGCUCUCAUAGAUUAUCACUAUCACUUGCUCCACACAUCUUUGGUUUAUUAUCAUUGGUGUGAAGGUUUGAUUAGUUGAACCGGAUUCACAACAGUUUUUGAUAUUAUAAACGCAUGCGGUAUUUUUGUGUUUUCAUUGUUGGUGUUAUUUUGUUGACAAGAUAAUUUAUUUUGAGUAUUUUAUUGUUGAUUAUCUGGAAAAUGUAAAUGGUCGAAUGUGUUCUUUUGAUGGACUAAAUUGAUAGAUAGCCCUUAUCUUCAUUUUUCUUUCUAUUCCAGAAUGGUGCGGAUUUCUUGAUUCAAGCCAACACACGUAAGCGCUUAAAACCGCACGAUGAUAACGAUGAUGUUUUUGAACGUGCUGAGGUUUGUUUUUAUAUGGUGGCUCUAUAUACUCUUUGCUAUAGUAGUAAUAGAAUAGCCGUGUCUCAUUGAAAAUACGACAAUGCGUCAGAUAAAUUGCUUGUGCUUGGCUUACUUCUAAAUACUAUAUGUAGUUGCCAUCUUCUGUUACUAGUAUUUUGAUGACUUCAACAAUUGUAAGAAGUGGUAUUCUGUCUCAAUUUGGUGUCGUAGUUGUUUCCAUUCCAACUGAAUAACUAUCACUAUAUCAGGUUGUUACUGAAGGAAGACAAACUAGUUUGGAGACAAAAAAUAAUGUUGAUGCAAAUAGAAAGAAAUCUGGUCGUGGAAGAGGGAGUUCUGGUUCAAGCAGAGGCCGUGGUUCCAAAUCUAAUGAUCAGACCAGAACACAAAUUUCUUCUUCAACAGUUUCGGCUUCAAAUGGUCAGAAUGAGAAUGUAUGUCGUAAAGUUACUUCCCAUCAAAUAUUUGGUUCUUUAAGCAAUAAAUUUUAUGGAUUGAUCAUUUAUGUCACACUCCUUGAUUGUUCGUUACAGAACUCAUAUUUUUGUUUGCAGGAUGGUAGACUCAAAGAUCCGUUUCGUAAUGAUAAUGGUGCUUCAUUAGAGGUAUAUGUAGAAGAAUGGGUGGCUUUAUAUUUUUGUUUUUAUAUUUUUGAGUUCCACGUGCAAGUUUUAAGGCAAGUAGAAGAAUGGGUGGCUUUAUAUGUACUCCCUCCGUCCCAAAUUAUAAGCAAAAAAAAAAUCACACUUAUUAAGAAAACUAAAACAUAAGAAUUUGGAGUAUAGUUUUUUGUGUUUUUUUUUGGAAAAAGUUUUAUAGGAAGAUGUAAAAACAAUUUUCAUUAGCUAUUGUUUAUGGAAAAAAUGAAAGACAGAGAAAAUUGAAUGUAAUUUGCAUUUAAUUUUAUGAGAAUAAACAAAAAAAAUCAUGGAAAAGAUAAAAGUUUGUCUUUUUUGCUUAUAUUUUGGGACGAAGAAAAUGUGUUUUUUUUGCUUAUAUUAUGGGACGGAUGGAGUAUAUGAUUAGAAUUAUGAUAUUAUCUCUUUAAAUUGUCCCUUUCCCCAACAUAUCUCAAUGACAUUGCUGGUACUUUAACUUCAUUAACUUUCAUUUUCUUAUUUUAUUUCAUCUUUGUAUUAAAUUAGGAGGAGAUUGCAUCUUUACGUGCAAAAGUUGUUGUGUUGGAGGAAGACUUACGUAAAGCAAAGCAAGAAGCCUCUCAGCAUCAGAAUAUUUGUCCACAGUUAGAAAAGGUAUAUGAAUAAGGGUGCGUUUGUUUCAGCUUUAAAAAAAAAAUAGAUUUUAUGUUAAAAGAAUCUAGAGAUUUUAAAAAAAAUUUAAAGUUAAUUUUGUUUGUUUACUACCCAUAAAAAUCCAUUUUUUCUAAAAAAUGAGUUUUAACUUGUACAUGUGUUACCUCCUUGUUGUUGAAAAAAAUAGAUUUUGAGAAAAGCUAAUCCUAAUAGCUUUUCAUUUUAUGAUCAAAAUAGAUGUUUUUGAUAAAAUGAUUUUUCUAAAAAUCCUAAACAAACACUUAAAAAUGAAAAAAGUGAUUUUUUUAAAGGAAAAAAUAGAUUUUUUUUGGAAAAAAUCCAAAACAGAUGCACUCUAAUUGUCCUAUUGCAACAAGAGAUGUGAAUCAGAAGGAUGUUUUCUGAAUCUUGAAUUGUAUCAAAUGAUAAGAUAUCAUGACAAUUGAUAAAUAGUUUCAAAAACAUACACCUAUAAAUGAAAGAAAAUAAUUACAAUAGAAUUUUCGCCCAAAUUUUACUCAAUGGAACUUAAUUUGUCACUAAUAAUGAGUCAUACACGGCAUAUAUAAUUCUCAGAUUCAACAAAAUUUAAGGCCCAAACUAAAAAAUGACAAUAAUUUACACUGUAUUUCUUAUAGAAGGUGCAACUGGGCAGUUGGUAUUGUAACUCAUAUUCCAAACCAAGUCCGUUCUACGACCUGACAAAAAUGGCAGUGAAACAACCGAACUGUGUUAUUCAAACUGCAUUCUUUUGAUACCAUUUGCUAAUUGAAUUUAUAGUGAACUGUAAUUAUGCUUUUAUGAAUUGUAAAUACGUAUUAAAGGUAAUAGAAUUGACGGUGUUGAAAUUAAUGUGAUGGUUUUCUGUUCUUCUUCUAAUGUUUGAUUUUGGCACAUGUAGGAACUGAAGGAAUUGAAAGAUCUUGAGGAGCAAAUGAAACCUAAGGUUUGAUUAUUUUCAUCUUUUAAUUGUGGUUAAACUUUUCCUUCUCGAUUCUCUCAAGACACAAAACUCCUAUUGGUAUACAUGUUAUUUAAAAUAUAAUGAAGUGGUGGAUUCAAUUGUGCAUGCACACGAAUCUUCUAUAACAAAGAUGAACUAGAAAUUUUAAAGAGGUUAUCGUUCUCUUACUCCAAAAUAAGUUAAGGAGCAUUGCACGUGUCACUUAUAAAAAUUAAGUUAAGCCGGCAUAUUAACAUCCAGUCCUUGAAUUUUGUAGAGAACAAAAAUAAUAUCCGAUUUGCUGAUAUCAGUUUCAAAGGCUGAGAGACAAGAAGCAAGACUAAAAGUACGACAGGACUCAUUGAGACUCGGAAAUGUUGGUGUAAUCAGGUAUAGGUAGAGCAUUGUGACAAAUACCUUUUUAUAAUAUUUUUAUUUAGGUUUUCUUAUUGGUUUAUUAUAUGAAUUUUAGAGCUGGAACUGUCUUAUCUGAGACCUGGGAAGAUGGUCAGGCGUUAAAGGAUCUGAAUGCCCAGCUUGUAUGUCUAACCUCUUUCUUUCCCUUCAUAUUUAUUUAUUGAAUUUAUUAUGCACCAAUGGUAUUUGUAAGUAUGAUCGUAGAUGUCUUACCCUCUUUGGGACAAUUUCUUCAUAAUAUAUUGGGAUUCAAGAUGAGAUUCCUAUUCAAAAUACAAUUUUAAGGAUGGUGUCUUCGAACUUCUACUUGUUUUCCUUUCCGGUACUAUUAGGCAUUAGCUUGUGGUAUAUUUUGUGAAUGUUUCUAUAACUUUUCUGUGGUGGUUUUUUUAUUUUCAAUUGGAGCCAUUGCAUAUAUCAGUAGUUUGCAUUAGUAAUAACAUGAAUUACUUUAUCUCUUGAUUUUUACAUAAACAACUACUCGAAACAAAGGAGGCAAUUGAGCGCCAGCGCAAGUUAUUCAAGAAAAAACAAUCUGGUACCACUCAGUUUCCUUUUUUCUGUUAACACUUGUCUUCCUGAACUUGGGGAAGAAGGGUUAAGUGGACUGAACGAGUAACUGUCCUUUUCCGCUUUUCCUUUCCCUUUCCCUUCAUUCGUAGUUUGUACCAAUUGUCAUUAUAACCAACAUAUACCUUGGAUCAUAAUAAACCAGAACACUAUGUAAUUUGUUUGCAUCUUAUAACACGCCGUUACCCAAAAUCAUUUAAAUGACAAUCAAAUUCCACGUAAUUCCACAAACGGGCAUGCUACACUACAUUUCAAAAAUUCUUAAAUAGAAAAUAAAACUAUUUAAUUCAACAUCUUUCAUAACUUCAAAAAUCAUGCAGCGGAAUAUUUGCAUCUCAAAUAACAACGACAACGGUUAAAGUCUCCAAGCAAUAUCUUGGCAUUAAGCCUAAUCAACCAACAAAGGGCCACAUCAUCAAGUUCCAAAAAUUGAUACAUAGGAAGGAAAACAACAAUAAAACUAAUAAUAAUUCUCAUCCCACGUAUCAGAGCCCUAGACACGACUCUUGAGCCACCACCGACUACUCAGGAUCACCUGCAAGUUACCCAUAGGAAGGGCAACAUUUUCAAGCAGAAGGGGUGAGAUUCACAACAAUAAAAUAUAGAUAUUAAAAUCUUCAAUUGAAUCUAACACCCUAUAACAUCAAAUACAUCAUCUUGUAAAUAUAAGCAUAUAAUUUCACAAGCAACAACAACAUCAUCAAAAUCCACUCAUCACAAUAUGUAUAUAAAUGUAUAUAUUCAUCAACAACAUCAUCAUCAUCAAUGUGGCAACUACAACCAACAACUAAGACUCAUGCAUGACAUGAUAACACCACUAAGACUCCUCAAAAUAUGCAAUUAUGCAUGUGGUACCAGACAGGACCGAAGCCCUCACCGCUUUUGAAUGGUUAAAGCAUUCAUCAGGACCGAAGCCCUCACCGUUGUGAACAACUAGUGCUCCAGAACAUGAGUCAUCUCCGCUGUUUAUGCAUAUGCAAUGGACCUACUUGUGUAUAUCUACAUACAACUUGACCAUGCAUACAUACUCCAUAUGACUCCAAUUAUACAACAUGUAUGGUUCAAUAAAUAAAUCAUACAACACAGCCAUCAGCAACAUCAACAACCAGCAAUCCAACAAUCCGGAAUAAUGCACAAUUUAAUAUAACUAUGCUCAAAACAACAACAUCAAUCACUACCAUUCAUGCAAGCAAAUUCAGCACUCAAAAUCUGGGUAGCUCGCUAUGGCGAGUUCACAAAGUUGGUUGCUCGCCACGGCGAGUUCAAGGCGAACUCGAAGCGAGUGAAAAGUAGGUGCUCUUGGAAAUUUGACAUUUUUCUCACUCAAACCUCAAUUCUAAGCUCCCUAUUCAUCUUUUCACUACAAGAAACAUUGCCUUUUGCCAGGGGCAAAAUCCCUGUCAAAAGGACAAAAUCCCUGGCAAACGGGACAUUUGUGAGGGAAAAAACGAGGGGCAGAUGGCCUGGCAAAAGCGCUCAUCGCAAACACUUUGCCAGGGGCUACACCCCUGGCAGAAAAACAAGGGGCUGAACCCCUGGCAAAACGCAACGCUUUCUCCCAGGCAGAACCCCUGGCAUGUUCCCUCACUUUCGUCUGCAGCUUUCCUGCACCACUGACUACGACUGACACCUCUGCGGCGGCUCUGACUGAAGUGACAGCAGCAAAAAACGAGGGACAAAGCGAGGGGUUUAACCCCUGGCAAAUGUCCUUAUUUUUUUUUUUAAAAAAAUCAUUUUUAUGAAAACGAUUUUUUUUAUUAAUUAAUAAAAUAUAUUUAAAUUAAUUUAAAAAUCAAUUUUUUUUUUUAAAAAUUGUUUUUGUAAUACAAUUAAAUGGUUAAAAAAUCAAUUUAAUUAAAAAAUAUAUAUUUAAAAAAUUAAUUUUUUUUUUAAAACACAAUUAAAUGCAUAUAGAUAAAGUUUAAUCACAGAAACACUAAUAAGUCUAAUUAAAAUGCAUGAAAUAGAAAGUGUACUUAAUAAUAUUACAAACCGUGCAGGAAAAUAAAUAUUGUGCCGGGAAGCAUGGAAAACCUCCCAAAAUCAUACAAACCAUAACAUAAUAGUAAAGAAAACACACAACAAGCAUCAUAAUUAAGCAUCAAUCAUCCAUCUCGAGGUCGUCAUCAUCAUCCUCUUCGCCCUCACCAUACACUUCAUAGGGGUCAUCCGCAUCAUCAUCACACACUGGAGGAGCCCUCACACUCUCUCGGCUUCCACUCUGCUGCCCAACACCUUGCUCUUGCCUAAAUGUGUCCAACUGAGAGUCUAGGAAUUCUCGUUGCUUCCUAACCACCUCAUGGAUCAGGUCCUGUUGGGUUUGCAUAUGGGCAGCAAGCUGUUCUUGAGUCAACCUAGUGAUCAGAUCCCGCAUUUCUGGAGUGAGCUCAGGUUGCCGAGAAGAGCCCUCCCCAGCAUUAAGGGUCAACUUUAGAGUGGUAGCAACACCCUUGCGGAAGUUUCCAGCUAAGUUUCCUGCACCGUACAAUCGCCCCUUCUUCUUCUCACCAGCAACUUUCGUCCAUGCACGAAGUGUGAGAGCUUCAUCAACAGAGCAUCCACGGGAGAGCGCCUCCGAUAGCUGACGAUCAUACUCCUCCUAAAAUAAAUAAGAAUAAAAUAGUUAAAGAUAAAUAAACAUUAAAAAAAAAUUAUAAUCACUAAUAAAAUUAAUUAAAAUACACUUAUGUAACAAUUACCUGGCAUAUCUUGGAGCGAUCAUCAACAUACUGGCCUGAUCGAUAUGUGUGGGUCUUCUUGUGGAGCUCAUUUAUGUAUGGCUCCCUACCCAGCUUCUUUGCCUAAUUGACAAGAAACACAAUUAUUAAGUAGUUAGUAAAACAUUAAACUAUAUUUAACCACAAAAUAUUUAAAAACAUACAUUCUAUAAAAUUAAUUAACAGAGUUAUUAUUUUUAAUUACCAGUCGACGGGCAUGCUCUGCUGUGCUUAUGCAGCCUCCCGUGUGGAUGCAUCCCCCUUUCUCUGAUGCUCUGUUCUUCUUUGCCUUCUCUGAUUUCGCCUUAAACUCUGGACUCCCCCAAUAGUCCACCAACUGCCUCAUAAGUGGCUCCCCGAUCCAGUAGGGCCUCUUUCCAGCAGUCUCGUGACGAAGUCGGACAUGUCGCAACAUGUCGGAGAGGCGGGCAGAAGCUCUAAUGUGAAAGUUCCUCCUUAUCUGAGCAUAGUACCUGGGGUUCCAGGUACACUUCAUCUGCAUAUUUGUUAACAUAUUUUAGGAAAUUAGUAAAUUAUAACAUAUGUGCAGAUAAGUUAAAAUAUAUUAUGAUAAGUAUUAAUGUAACCUCAAAAAGACCAAACCAUGCAUCCUUUUCAUCAUCUGGGAUAUCACCAUAAGUCUUCCAAAAUCCAUGAAACCUUCCCUGGAUGAUGUCUCUAAUGGCACUGGCGGCUGGCUUGCAGGGCAUGAAACUACAAACAAUGAAAACUCAUAUAGUUAAACAUUACAUAAAUUUAUAACAAUAUACAUAUUGAACAAAAAUACAUAAAGACUUACGAGUUCCCGCUAGGCACAAUGAUGUAACGCUCUUGUUCAUCUUGCGGAUAAUCUGCCAUCUCCUCAUCAUCAUCAUCAGCACCCUGUUGGGGUUGGGGUUGGGGUUGUUGAUGUUGGGGUGGUGGGGGUUGUUGAUGUUGAGGGAUUAUAAAGCUGGUCUGCCCAUGAGGAAAUGUUGGUGGAGGAGGCAACUGGUAACCUGUAGGGAGGAUAAAACCAACAGGUGCAACAACACCAGACCCUCCAGCGGGUGCAGCAGCACUAGCUUGGGAUGACCCAGUCGAUCCCUGGCUAGAAGAAGAGGGUGGUCUGGGAAAGGGAGUCAAUGUGGCAAGUGUGGCUGGAUCCGCAAUGUGUGUUGUGAACCGCCUCCUGGGGUCCUUGCUCUUGCCUUUCUCUUUUUGUUUCGGAGGCAUUGUGAAUCUGUUAAAUAACAAAAAAAGCGAUAUUGUAAAGGACUCAAAUAUAUAUACAUCAUUAAACAAGCGAUAUCUUCAUUCAAACUCAAAUGUAUUCAAGAUUACAAUAAAUUCAAAUUCAAUCAUUACAAGGGUGGAUAACAAUAUACUUCAAGUGUUGUUAUCAGACGCAUAGUUAUAUUCAUCUACAUCACCAUCAUCAACUUGAUUGUCUUGCUGGUCCCCUUCAUUAUUAUCAUCAACAACGUCUUCAUUCUCAUCUUCAACUUCAUCACGCAUCUCCAAAAUAGAAAGAUCAACCUGAUCCCCUUCAACGUGAGAGUCUUGCCAACUUGUCACUUGAUCUACUUCAAUUAUCUCAUUUACAUGUGUCAUAUCAUCGGCUUGGUAAGCAACUUCUUCGUUUGGUUCUCCAGUCUCAAUGCGGCCCCUCGGUUUUGUUUUGAUUGCAACAGACCAACCUCGUUUGCGUGGUAGAGUUGGGGGAUAAGGAACAUAGUACACUUGCCUAACAUUGUGUGCCAUGAUAAACGGGUCAUAUUCUUUAUAUUUUUUGUCGACUCGAAUAUCAACAGUGUUGCAUAAUUUAUUAAUUUUAGUCCAUCUAGGCGAGGGAUCAAACCAGUCACAAUAAAACAACACAACUUUAUUGUCAUUAUAUGAAAGCUCAUAAAUGUGUUUGAUCACGCCAUAGAAAUCAUCUUCACCUCCAUCUGUAACUCCUUUUACAUAAACACCACUAUUAAUAGUCUUUUUUCCUUCCGUCCAAGAGUGGGUAUGAAAUUUAUAUCCAUUCACGAAGUAGGUGUGAAAUUCAUUGGCACAUUGUAAAGGACCCUGAGAUAAUUGCCGUAAACGGAUGACUUCAUCAGUUGGCUCGGCAUUAUACACUCUUUGUUUAAACCAAGCUGGAAAAUAUUCAUGUAUAGAACCAGCUGUCGAUCCUUCACCAAACUCCGCAUAAAGAGCAAUAAAUUCCCUAAAAAGCAAUAAAUUCAAUACGAUGUUGUUAACCGCGUUAAAACUUAUUGUUAUAUGGACUAGUAAAAAUGGGUAGGAAUAAAUUUACUUACUCAAGGUAUGGUUUAACUUCCGCACAAUUAAUCAAAACAUGAACAUGAGCAGACCGCAUCUCUUUCUGAUCUACCAUCCAAUAUUGAAGCACCUUGCCCGCGUGUCGACCAUGAAGAUUGAAUACGGAUAAGGUUGACGGAUCCCGAACAUCGUUAACCUCAACUUCAUUUCUUGUAUUUGAUGGAGUAAGUAGACGAUCAACGAAAUAAUGGCCGAUGAAGUAUGUGGUUUCCUUGGCGGUGUAAAUAGCAACAAUUGAUCCUUCCACUUUGGCCAGAUUUUUAAAUGCUCGUUUUGAGUCACCCAUGAAUCUUUCAAAAGGGUACAUCCACCUAUAUUGAACAGGUCCGCCAAGUAUAGCUUCAUAUGCCAGAUGCACAGGAAGAUGUUCCAUAGAGUCAAAGAAACCUGGUGGAAAAAUUUGCUCCAACUGACAGAUAAUGAUUGGCAUAUUAUUCUCCAUUUUCUCAAGUUCAUCAACUCUCAAGGUUGAAGCGCACAAAUUUUUAAAAAAUUGACUAAUCUCAAUAAGUGGAUCUAGCACAUGUUUGGGCAAUGAACUAAAUGCAAUUGGGAUAAAGUUCUCCAUGAAAAUGUGAGAGUCAUGACUUUUCAUCCCAUGCAACCUUCCCGUGUUGACAUCGGCACACCUGCCUAUGUUAGAAGAAUAUCCAUCGGGCAUUCUCAAAUCCUUCAACCAUUGACACACUAAUUUUGCUUCUUGGGCAGAUAGGCUGUAGUUGGCUUUCGGUUUCAACAACUUCCCAUUCGGUUGAGGUUUCAACUCCAAAUCCUUUCUUUUGCAAUAUAUUUGUAAGUCUUUUCUAGCCUUCUCAGUGUCUUUUGUUUUUCCUUUGACAUCCAUCACUGUGUUAAAUAUGUUGUCAAAGACAUUCUUCUCAAUGUGCAUUACAUCAAGAUUAUGUCUGAGCAAGUUAUCUUUCCAAUAUGGGAGGUCCCAAAAUAUACUCCUUUUAGUCCAGUGAUGGUCUACUCCGUAUCUUGGUAUUGGGACAGCUCGACCAUAAUCAGUGACUUUUGGAUAAUCACAAACUCUUGUCCACACUUCUUCUGAUGUAAUCUUAGGUGGAGGACCAACAAAAACUCUCUCAUCCUUCUUGAAACCAUUCUUAAGUCUUCUAAACGGGUGAUUAUGAGGCAAGAACGGAUGAUGACAGUCAAACCACGAACUCUUCCCUCCACUUUCCAAAGUAAAUGCCUUUGUAUUUUCCAUACAAUGUGGACAUGCAAAUCUACCAUGAGUACUCCAACCGGACAACAUGCCAUAAGCGGGAAAAUCAUUAAUGGUCCACAUCAAAGCUGCUCUCAACUUGAAAUUUUGUUUUCUAGAAAUAUCAUAUGUCAAUUCUCCAGCCCACAACCUCUUCAAAUCAUCAAUUAAAGGUUGUAGAAACACGUCUAUGCCUGCUUUAGGGUUAUCUGGUCCUGGUACAAUACAACUCAAAAACAAGUAUGGUUUUGUCAUGCACAUUUCAGGAGGGAGAUUAUACGGGGUUACAAUGAUUGGCCAACAAGAAUAUGGUUUUGCCGAGGAUUGGACAUAUGGCUGAAAACCGUCAGAGCAUAAUCCAAGUCUCACAUUCCGUGGAUCUGCUGCAAAAUCAGGAUGUACUCGAUCAAAGUGUUUCCAUGCUUCACCGUCAGAAGGAUGUCGCAUCACUCCGGGAAUUCCAUUUGAAUGAUGCCACGUCAUUUGACUAGCAGUUUUCAUCGAUGCAAACAGUCUUUGUAAUCUUGGUAUUAUCGGCAAGUAAAACAUUGACUUAACCGCAACUCGUUUCUGCUUGCUAAUACCGUACCUCGGGCUUUGACAAAAUUUACAUUCCUCCAAUGCUCCAUCAUUUAUCCCAAACUCAUUGUCAUAAAACAACAUGCAUCCAUUUCUACAACAAUCAAUCUUUUUAACUGAUACUCCCAACUUCAUCACCAACCUCUUCGCAGCAUGAUAAUUCAUUGGCAGAUUAUCUUUGAACGGAGUCACGGCCUUCAACAUCUUCGUAAUAUCAUCCAUACCAUCAUCAGGAUUAAGAUAAUUCGACUUAUGAGAUAAAAGCCACACACACAUAGAUAGCUUAGAGUGCGAAGACCCUUCAUACAAAGGUGUAUUACUUUCACUCAACAAUCGGUAAAAUCUUUGCGCCUUCUCAUUCGGGGGUUGUUCCUCUUCAUCAUCUUCAACAUCUUCACCGUAAGACAAUUCCACCCCUAAAGCAUCCGCAACCAUAUCAUCCAUCAUGUUGAAUUGUUCUGUGUUGACAUCUUCAUUGUAUUCCACAUUUGUUUCCACAUUUGUUCCACCAUGGCUAGUAGAAGCUUGUGCAUUGACCCCUACCCCAAAAUUCUGAAACAUUUCACCAUUAUAUGUCCAAACCCAAUAAUUAGGCAUAAAACCAACUUUUUUUAGGUGUUUCUUCACAUCUCCAGGAUCGGUAAUUAUAUGUCUGCACCUACAUUUUAGACACGGACAUCUAAUUCCUCCCUCAUCUCUACAUAUUUCUUGCUCCCAUGCCCAUGAAAUAAAUCCGUCAACUCCUUCGACAAAUUGCGGUUUUAGUCCAGUUCUUCUCGGAAACGUCCUAUCGUACAUCCAACGACGAUAAUAUUCAUAAUACUCCAUCUUCUACACGUUCCGCAACUUCAUUGACAUAUUCCACGUCGUCAAAAAUAAAUUAUUACUCGACGGAGAUAACUAACAUUACGCGCAAAAAAAAAAUCCCGCUCAAACAAUAAAAUAUAAGUUUACGCGCAAACAAAUUAAAUUUUUAACUCGCAAAUUAAACAUAUAAUAAUUAAUUAUUAAAUAAUUGUAACAUAGUUUUAAUUUUCAUCGAUAAACAACUUUCUUGUACUAUACUAUUUUUGAGUCCCUCCUUUUUAAACAAUAUGCAUUAUUAUAUUAUAUUGUUUUAUUUUAUAAAAAUAAUAAUUAUAACAUUUUAGACACGGAAAUCAAACAUAUUUUAAUUUAUUAAAAAAAAUUACAUUUUAACAAAGUUUUAAUUUUUUUUAAAAAAAACUGAUUUUUAAUACACUAUUUUAAUAAAUCGUUUUCCAAGAACUUUUUAGUGUAGUAUUUUUUAUGUAGUAUUUUUAUUUUCCUACGCUUUAAUUAGUUUUAAUUUAUGAAAAUAAUAAUUAUAACAUAAUUAUAAUUUCAAUAUAAAAACAGAUUUUUAAAUAUAUAAACAUAUUUUAAUUUCAUAAAAAACAGCAUUAGGUUUAAAAAUCUGUUUUUAUAAUUUAAAAACUGGUUUUUAUAUGGUAUUAACUAAACUAAAUUAUAUUUAUAAAAACCAGUUAUUAAAAUUUAAAAAAAAAAUAUUUUUAAUAACAGAUUUAGUUUAACAAACAAUUUUACUUUUAAAACAAUAUUCCCUUAUUUUGUUAUUUUAAAACAGUACCGAAAGGUACACUUGCUAAAAUUAAUUAAAUUGGUCCUAUUUUUCUUUCUUACAAUUAAAUAAGUUUAUUAUUAAAAGAAAAAACAGAAUAUAAGCAAUAAGUGUUUGACCAUAUUUUUUUUAACAUUCUACUACAACAUACAUAUAUAUUACAUUUUAUAAAAAAAAAAAAAAAAAAAGACAGCAUGCAUAUAUUUCAUUUUAUCACAAUAAAAACAACAUGCAUAUAUUUCAUUUCAUCACAAAAAAUAAACAUGCAUAUAUAUAUAUAUAUAUAUAUAUAUAUAUAUAUAUAUAUAUAUAUAUAUAUAUAUAUAUAUAUAUUUCAUUUUAUCACAACAAAUAAAAAAACAUGCAUACAUUUCAUUUUUUCACAAAAAAAGCAUGGAUAUAUUUCUCAAAUUCGAAUAAAUAAACCAACAAUAUUCAUGCAUAAUAAUAUAUAUGAAGAAAAAAAAAUAUUACAUGAUUAUAUUAAAUAUUUUAGAUUUUCGGAAAAAAAAAAUACCAAACAGUCAUCAUAUAUUUUUACAACAUAUCAUCAAAAUGUAUAAUUUUUAGGCCAAAAAAAUUACCAAACAGUCAGCAUAUAUUGUUAUGAGGAAAAAAAAUCACUAACUUGUUGAAGCUUUAUUACACUAGAAGAUCUCCAAUGCAAUCCAAAAACAACAACAGUUGAAGCAAUAGCUGACCACAGGAGGCAGAUAAGUAACACAACUGCAAAUAACAUAGAAAAUAAAUAAGAUUAAUAGGUGUUAAAAAUUAAUAUCAUGAUAAAACAUAUAAGAAAUGAAGUAUUUUUUACCAAAGAAAUGAAGUUUGAUGAAAGUGUUGAGUUUUAAGAGAAGAAAAUGUUCUAUCUUGCUUCCCUGAGACCGGUGCAACUCUUAUAUAGGGAGGGGAAAAAGCCACGGCUUCUGCGACGGCCUGCCCCCUGGCUUAUCUGGUCAAAUCCUACCUAGCUAGGCGCAACAAUAGGGCACAUAACGGCUUGCAAAAAGCCAGGGAUAUGUGCAAUUUCCGAGGGGUUCUGCCCCUGGCAAGCCUGCAGCACAUCACCUUUCCCAGGCCCUUGUCAAGUCAACAGAAAAAGCAGCAGGAAUCUAUGGAAACGCGUACAUCCGAGGGGCUUUCCCUCGCAUAAGCCCUCGGUUAUUUCUGACAUUGCAGAAAUUGCACCAGCUUUUGAAAUUUCAAUCUGGCGCCUAAAAAUAUGCCACGGCUUUUGACAAAAAACGAGGGGCAAAGUCCCUGGCUUUUUUGCCAGCGGUUGUCCCUGGCAAAUUUGCCAGGGGUUUCAAACCUUGACAAAAUCCCUGGCAAAACGCAAUGUUUCUUGUAGUGUUUUAACCUAAAACUUGUUCCAUUCAUCAUUAAAAUCAUUUAGGUACAUUAAAUCAUCCCCAAAACAUCUUAUAACAACAAUUUGAAAAUCAAGUUUUGAACUGGCUUGCUCGCCAUGGCGAGUUGGUCUUCUCGCGAGGCGAGCCAUGCUGUUGUUCACUAGCGAGGCGAGACAUGAAUGCUCGCGAGGCGAGCGAUGAACAUCAGUACGGGCAGAAAACAGGUUUUUUCCAAAAAUCCCAUUUUUCUUCCAUUCACUCCACAAAUUGGUUUACAGAUGUGAGUUAACUUACUGUAUGCACUCAGAACCUAUUUCUAACAUCAGAAUCACAAUCUCAACCCCAAAAUCAUCAUUUCAUCAUAAAACCCCAAAAUCCCAAUUCACUCCAAAACUCUGUUAAACUCAAAUUCAGAAAUUAAAAUCUAUACUACUUGAGUAAACCUCACCCUUACCUUAGAAAUUGCAGAAAAUGCACAGCAUAAAUGGUUCUUGGCUCUAACUUGCUCUUCUCUCCCUUUUCUCCUAACUGGACAGUUUUCACGUACAGAGUUUUCUAACUUCUCUUUUCCUAACUUCCCAUUACUUAACUCCCCUUUAUUUUCAUUUAACUCCCUUUAAUUCUAUUAAAUAUUAAAUAACUCCCCAAACUCCAAAAUAAUUAUUAUUUCUCACUUAUUCUAAUUAUUAUUAAAAUAAACCGUAUAAUAAUAUAAACACACCACAUAAAUCACCAAAAAUCAUAUAUAUAUAUAUAUAUAUAUAUAUUAGACUCCACAUAAUCCAAAAAUAAAUAGCACAACGAUUGGAGUGUUACACAUCUACUUUUAAUAGCCUUCACUAUUUACUUAUUUGUCAUACCCCAAUUUUUGACCCAAGAUACCACUUACACGUGUCAUUUAAACUCCGACCGGUCUCAGCCUUUCGAGCAAAAAAUUCGGCAGGGAGGUAUUUUAAAAUACCUCAUAGUUGGUUCCGAGUCGGGCCCUCUUCUCUCAAUUUUCAAUUUUCAUCUAAUUUCCAUCUUUUAUCAACUUUAAAUCCAUCUUAAAUUUUUAUCUUUUUAUCUCAUUUUGAUUCACUUCUAUCUUUUAUUUUAUUUUAUCUUUAUUAUUAUUAUUUUCCAAUUUGGUCCGAUAAUAUCCAAUUUACAGCCUGUCAGCUUCCUCUCCAAGCCACAACAGCCUGUCAUGUUUCCUCCCCAAGCAACAAAAUUUUGCUCAUUUCAAGCUCUAUAAAUACAACACGCAAGCAGCACACAGAGAGGGGGGCCCAACAAACAAAAAAAACAUUCCACGGCCACAACACAACACACAAGACAACAAUUUUCAUUCUUUUUUCGAUCCCAAACCAGCAACCAACAGAGAACAAUUUUCCUCCCAUUUUUUCUUACAAUCCAAACCUUUCCAAUCAACCAACCAAACACAAAUUUCAAACCAGAACAUUUCUAACACAAGAUCAACAACCAAACUCACAGAUCCGGUAACCAAACCGCAAAACAACACACAAACUGUUCUCAUAACAAAACCGAACCAUCGCAACUCAAAUCGAACCAAAUCUUUACAAACCCUCUCAAACCAAAAAGGUAGUAUUUCUUUCCUUAGAUCUAGGUCCAACCGCUUGGUAAAAAUAUUUUUUGAGCUUAAAAUCAUAAAGAGUGAGUAAAAAGAAGUAAAAAGAAGUAAAAAGAACGAAAAAAGGAGACGCUUUCAUCUCCGGCGCGGCGGCGCAGCCGCUAUGGCUCACCGGCCACCGCGCCGGAACCCCCUCCGACCACCAUCUCUCCACCGGAGAAGAUGAAGAAAUUCUAGAGAGAAGGCAGAGCUUCUCUCUCUAGAAAUAAGAGAAGAGAGAGAAAGAAAAAUAAAAGUGAAUGAAAAAAACCAGUCCUGCCUAUUUAUACUACUAGACCGAACCGGUUCAAAUCUGAACCGGUCUGAACCGGUCUAAUCCAGGCCCAUGCGUUUUUCCUGAGGCCCAAUCUCGAUUCUUCAUUUUUAUUCUUGCACCCUCACUUUACUGCUCAUACACCACCAGCAUCUCAUCUUUUUACUUUCUUUUUUUCAUGCAUUUUAAUUUCCUCUCUAUUAAUCCAGAGUGCUCUGGUCCUAUAUUAACUGUUAAUAUUAUAUUCUUGUUUAAUUUAAUUAUUCUCCAGAACAAUCUGGUCCUUGUUAAUUAAAUUAAUCCAGAGUGCUCUGGUCCUAUAUUAACUGUUAAUAUUAUAUUUUUGUUUAAUUUAAUUAUUCUCCAGAACAAUCUGGUCCUUGUUAAUUAAAUUAAUCCAGAGUGCUCUGGUCCUAUAUUAACUGUUAAUAUUAUAUUUUUGUUUAAUUUAAUUAUUCUCCAGAGUGCUCUGGUCAUUGUUAAUUAAAUUAAUCCAGAGUGCUCUGGUCCUAAAUUAACUGUUAAUAUUAUAUUCUCCAGAAUAUUCUGGUCCUAUAUAUAUAUAUUAAAUACUAUUUAUCUUGUUGAACUAACAAUCUUUUCUUCACACCCACACACUUUAUUUUUUUGUUGCUCUAUUUGUUUAAUUUUCCAUUACUAUUCAAAACAACAAAAACAUUCAAAUAUUCAAAAAACAACAAAAACAUUCAAAUAUCCAAAAUUCACAAAAAGAGCUUUUCACAACAAACCUUGACUUUCAAUCAAGUGACCGUCUUUUUAUUUUAUUUUUCUUAAUCAAAUUUCAAAUCAAUUCUAAUUCAACUUCAAGUCAAUUUUCUUCAAUCUAAAAAACACAAAUCAAUUCUCAUUUGCCAUUUGGCUUUUUAUUUCAAAACCUUUUUCAAAACAUAUAAAAAACACCAAACAAAUCAAACGUCAAUUUCUACCCCGAACUACGAGGUUUUGAUCCCUCACGGGUACGUAGGCAGAGGACCUUGUCCUUCCAAAUCAAUUAAAAAACAAUUUUCUUUUUUCUUUUCAACUUUCAACUAAAAAACAAUUUUCUUUUUUUUCCUUCAAUCAAAAUCAAUUUUCUUUUUCUUUUCAACUCAUCAUUCAAUUCUAUUUUCAUCUCUUUAAAAGCAAGCAAGUUUAAGCACAAAAAGUUAAAUAAAAUCAAGAGGUUCUCGUAGAGUACUACGAAUAUUUAGGGUGCUAACACCUUCCCUAAAUAUAACCAACCCCCAAACCCUAAAUCUCUUCAAAAUGGGUUGUUUGGAACUUUUUCCCCUUAAAAAAAAAUUUGUUCAGUCGUGAGAUAAAAAGUGAGUCAAAGUCAAUCAAAUGGCCUUGACGUCCGAAAAAUGGCGCGACAGAAAUGGCGACUUCACUGGGGAUGUCAUAAGAGGGUUGAGCCUAACUUGAAUUUAUUUAAAUUUUGUGCCAUAACUUGCUUACAAAUCAAAAAAUAAAAGAUGAAAAUACGUGCAUAUAUGUUCUCUUUUCUUCUUUCUUUUUCCUUAACAUGAGUGGUGAGAUAAGUCCUACACCCGGGCUUGAGGAAAACAUAAGAUAGGAUGGUGAUAUAAUCAAAGUGCUAUUCCAAGAGUAAUCUUGAGUGUUAGUACAUGUGAUAAUCCCGCUCAAUGGAGGUUCUUGGAAGUAAUACUAUGUUGACAUGAGUAAUCGUGUUUGACACUAUUAUUUUCAAGUAAUCGUCGAAGUUGAGGACCUUUAGUUACCUUUAACCCAUCUUGGCCUCUUAGGACGUAGUGCGGUGGGUAAUCAAGAGUAAUCUUGAAUUAGUCGAUACGCGAUACUACACCCAAACAAGACUUUCCUACAAAUGUCAUUGGAUCAAGAGUAAUCUUGUAACCUGAUAAUAUUUGGAAGUGGUUGUAGACUUUGGGAACUUGGUAGAACCCAUGAUACAGGUACAAAAUGAAACCAUAGUCCUUACCAAAUGGCGUGUUUACCCCUCGACUCCAUCGUCAUGGCCUUAAACCUCACCAUGUUUUCACCAUUUGUGUCGCAUAAUCAUGCAUACAUGCAUUCGUUCAUAAAUAACUUUUUUUUUCUCUCAUCAAAAUAUCGAAGGACUAAAAAAAAAAAAUCUUUUGUAAACAUCAUAGGUAUGAAUCCUGCGACAAGAACCACUAGGAAGUACUAUUUCCGAAACCCGGAUUUGUCAAACCUAAGGAAGCUAGGGAAAAGGGUGACUAAUCCGGUAGAUUUUCAAAAUCGCCAUGGAAGACUGCUUAACCUCCUCGAGACGAAGGUGGUGCAAGGGAUCCUCGAUACUUUGGUCCAGUUUUAUGACCCUUAUUGCCAUUGUUUCACUUUCCUCGACUACCAACUUGUCCCCACCCUUGAGGAAUACUCCUACUUGAUCGGGUUACAGUGUCUAACGAAGAACCAUUCAACGGCCUUGAGCCUGUUCCUAAGCACGCAACCAUUGCAAAGGCCCUUCACCUUGAAACAUCUGUUAUAACAGCUAAACUUACCACCAAAGGAGGCCUUCUAGGUCUACCCGCCAAUGUCCUCUUUGAAAAGGCCGUCGCUUUCGCCGAUAUGGGCAGUAUUGAUGCCUUUGAAUCCAUCCUUGCCCUACUCAUAUAUGGUCUUUUGCUUUUCCCAGAUGUCACCAACUUUGUUAAUAUUAAUGCCAUCAAAAUAUUCCUAGCCAAAAACCCCAUCCCCACUUUGCUUGCCGAUACAUAUCUCUCCAUCCAUGAUCGAACCCAAAAAGGGCAAGGAACUAUACUUUGUUGUGCACCCUUGUUGUACAAUUGGUUUACCUUACAUUUACCCAAUCACUUCAAAACCAAUCCAGAAAACACCCUUUGGUCACAAAAAAACCAUGUCCCUCGCUCCAUCUGAUAUAGUUUGGUACAACCGAAAUUAUGACACUGGAACAAUCAUUGACAGUUGCGGAGAAUUCUCUAACGUACCUCUUCUCGGUAUAUGUGGGGGAAUUAGCUAUAACCCUAUUCUCGCCAGGCGUCAAUUUGGGUACCCAAUGGAAAAACCAAAGGAUAUCUCACUAGACGGGAUAUUCUACCUCAACCAAGAGGAUAACAAGGGCAUGAGAGGAAGAUUUAUACAAGCUUGGCGUGCAGUUCAUAAGAGGGAAAAAGGUCAGUUAGGAAGGAGGUCAGGUUUGAUCUAUGAAUCUUACACUAAGUGGGUCAUUGAUAGAGCUGCAAAAAAUGGAAUACCUUAUCCUCUACAAAGACUCCCAUCUUCAACUACCCCAUCUCCAUCCUUACCCAUGACUUCUAAAACCAAGGAGGAAGCUCAAUACCUGUUAACCGAGAUGACACGAGAAAAGGACAUAUGGAGAAUGAGAUAUAUGGAAGCCGAGAACAAGAUUGGGACUCUAAAGGGACAAGUAGAACAGAAAGAUCAUGAGCUCAGCAAGAUGAGGCAACAAAUGAUCGAGAGAGACGAUCUACUCCAGGAGAAGGACAGGUUGCUUGGAAAGCAUAUCACUAAGAAGCAACGCAUGGACUUCAUGGAUUUGUUUGAUGGUGCACAUUCAGAUUUCGAGGAGUAGUCUGCUUCAAGAGCUCAAGAGCUCCCCGUUUGUUUUAUCCUUUAUGCUUUCUAUUAUGUACUUUGGAGUCUAUCCCUUGGCUCAAUUUGUUAAAAAGGGAAUUAACUUGUUUCUAUUUGUAGGACUAUCCCUUGACUUUGUUUUAGAAAGGGAAUUAUCUUGUCCAAGGAAACUUUCAGUUAUGAUGUUUACUAAAAUUGCUUUUAUAAGUCCUUCGAUAAAUAAAAUAUGUCUAUCUUUUUGCAUAACAUCAUGCAUCAUCCCGCAUUUCAUAGUUUCAAAUACAAGUCUCACAAAUUUUAUUUUAUUUUUCUUUUCCACAAAAAGGUCAAAGAAGGGUUUCAUGUCUUCAUUCAACUUCAGCUCACACAUGCAAACACUCGUGCAAACACAAAAAAUGGAUCGACUUGGAGAAGAGGUCCACGAGCUUCGUGAAGAAGUGACUAUACUUCGGGCCGAGGUAGAGAAGUUAACUAACUUGGUAUCUUCACUAUUGGCUACGGAGGAUCAGCCGCUAUGCCCACAACAGCCUCGACAACAAGCUCUUCAGCAGUUUAUUGCUCAAGAUCAAGCUAAGGGAGCACCACGGUUUGGUCUGAUCCCUGUGAAAUAUGCAGAGUUGUUUCCCGCACUUCUUAAGGAAAAUCUGAUCCAAACUAGACCACCUCUCCCGGUACCAAAAAGGUUGCCAAUAGGGCAUAGAGCUGACCUUUCUUGUGCUUUCCAUCAAGGGGCAUCAGGUCACGAUAUCGAGCAAUGCUUUGCUUUCAGGACUGUAGUCCAGAAGUUAAUCCAAGCUAACACACUGUCCCCUGAGGGUCAGCUACUUGUCCAACAAAGAUCUCAAAAGCCGGUUUACCAGCCACAACUUCAACAACAGGCUCCAAGAGCACUGCAGUUUGAUCCGAUUCCUAUGAAGUACGCAGAAUUGUUUCCUUAUCUGCUCAAGAAGAACUUAAUCCAAACUAGGGCACCUCCUCUAGUGCCGAAGAAAUUGCCGGCUCAAUGGAGACCUGACCUCUUUUGUGCUUUCCAUCAAGGAGCACAAGGUCAUGACAUUGAGCAUUGUUUCUCCUUGAAGAUUGAAGUCCAGAAGCUGAUUGACGACGAUGUCUUGCCUUUCAAAAAUUUGAAUCCGAGUGUGUAGCUGCAAUUGGGUCAACGUUUAUGCCUUCUUCUGCUACUCGAUUUUCUUCCAGCGAUACGUUUGUUGGUUUACUACCUUUUCAAAAAAAUCCUUUCGUCCCGCCCGAGAUGAAAGUGAACUGGUGUAGGGCUUUUUGCUUUAAGAAUUGUCAUCAUUAAUAAAUAAAAAAAGUCGCUUCGAUCCCGACUUUGCCUUUUUGCUUUUUCUAGAAAAAUGGUAAAUACAAAAAAACCAAAAAACAAUAAUCAUUUUCAAAUAUCUGCAUAAUCAUAACUUUCAUUUACUCGUCAAAAUCAAUAAUCAAAUCAUGCAUUAAUAAACUCGUUGAACACAAUAACCAUGUACUCUCUUCCAACUUUGAGUUCCCUAUGUCCGAAGAUGAAGAAGAGGAAAAUGAGGAGACUCCUAGUGAGAUCUCUUGCUUACUGGGGCAUCUUAGCCGUCGAAUCUACAAACAAAAAUAUCAAGAAGAUUGCCCAGAAGAUGGCUUUCAUUUACAAAGACUGGCACAAGAUGCUACCAUCCGCACUUCUUGAGUAUAGUACUUCAAUGCACAUUUCAACAGGGGCAAGCCCCCCCCCCCCUCCAUCCCUCAGUAUACAACAUGAAGUUUGUGCUUCCCAUGGAGGUCGAAGUCCCAACAAUAGGAGUUCUACCAAAGUCCAAGCUUGAUUGAACUUAAAACACAUGACGACCUUGUACAACCAUGUUAAAAGAGGUUGAAACAAACUUCAAACAAGAAGGUUCGUCCUCAUGGAAUUCAAGAAAGAGACUUUGUGCCCAAAAAGGUACUAUCUUUCCAACCACACUCUAGGGGCAAGUGGACGCAUAACUAGGAAGGCCCAUGUGCACUGACUCUUGUGCCUACAAAUGGUGACAAACUCACACUUCCUAUGAAUGUCAAUGCAGUCAAGAAAUACUUUGUCAAAAAAUGAAAGCUCGAUAAGUCGCAAACCUGAAAAGGCGGCUUAGGCAAAAAUGAGCGUCUCGGUGGACUGAAAACCCAAAAGGGCGGUCCAGGCAAAAGUUAGAGACACAAAAAUGAUUAUCCUGAUAGAUUGAAAACCCGAAAGGGCGAUCUAUGCAAAAAUUAAGGAUCAAAAGACAAAGUAACUGCAUCAGUCAGGCACCAUACACUUGGGGCAUCCAACUAUCAAAGGACUUCCGACUCGAAGCCUCUACAUAUCAAAGACCCAGAACAGGGGCAUUCAAAGUUGUUGGGGAGAAUAACGGUUAUUGUGUUCAAUGCACCCUUCCCAUUACAUUUACCAUUUUUCCAAGAUUUUCAAAAUCCGUGGAGCCAUGCCCUUGGCAGGUCACCACUCAAUUCAGCAAAUUUGAGCCUGUGCCCAUUUAUUUGGAACUCUCAUUUAUUCUGUUUGCAUAAUUUUUUUCUAUUUUUUAUGGCAAUACUUAAAGCAAAAAUUUUCAAAAUACAAAACAUUUUUUUUUUUUUACAUCUUUUGAAAAGUGUGAACAACAAACACACUCUCUUUGAACUCAUAAGUAGGUGAAGCGUACAUCAACAUUUGCCUCAAGAACGGUUACACUACGAAAGAGAAGCAGGGCUAAGCACAUAUGGAAAGAACCUCUGCCUUGAGCAAGAUGCUGUCACAGUCAAAAAAAUACAAAAAAAAAAAUCAAAGCUCGCUAAGUGAAAACCUGGAAAGGUAGCUUAGGCAAAAAAUGAGCGUCCCGGUAGACUGAAAACCCGAAAGGGCGGUCUAGGCAAAAGUUAGGGACACAAAAAAGAAAUAUACUCCCGGUGGACUGAAAACCCGAAAGGGCAGUCCAGGCAAAAGUUAGGGAUUUCAAAAAAAAAAAACACGACUUUUGAAGCAUGCAAGAGGAGGAACACCCUGCGUCGUCUUACAACUGGCGACUUCUUCUAGACUUUCUAUCAACAAUGGGCUUUACCCCCAAGAGGCAUCAGUUGCUACCUUGUGCCAGGUUCUUAUACCGUCAACGGUUUGAUUUGUUAACAAUAAUGUCAUCUCCAAGGAAGUUUGCCAAGUGUUUGUACUGCGAUGUCAGUCCGCCUCCCACCUUACCAAUCCUGUCUCGUUCCAUCGAGUCUAUACAAUCAUACAUUCAUUCACACAUUCACACAUCAAUACAUUCAUACAAUCAUGCAUUCAUCAAUAUUUUCACAUAUUCUUACGUUUACGUGUACACAACAUAUGCACAACAUCGAUCCACCCAUAAUUACAUCAGUCAUCCAUAAUAUCGUUUCAGUCAUGUCUCUUAAGUUCGGUUUUAACUUAUCAAUUUCAAGCGGCAAGUUUCGGAUAAAGGGACAACUUGAAUCUAUUUUCAGUCAAUUUCAAGCGGCCAGUUUCCGAUAAAGGGACAACUUGAAUCUAUUUUCAGUCAAUUUCAAGCGGCGAGUUUCCGAUAAAAGGGACAACUUGAAUCUAUUUUCAGUCAAUUUCAAGCGGCCAGUUUCCGAUAAAGGGACAACUUGAAUCUAUUUUCAGUCAAUUUCAAGCGGCGAGUUUCCGAUAAAGGGACAACUUGAAUCUAUUUUCAGUCAAUUUCAAGCGGCGAGUUUCCGAUAAAAGGGACAACUUGAAUCUAUUUUCAGUCAAGUUCAAGCGGCGAGUUCCCGAUAAAGGGACAACUUGAAUCUAUUUUCAGUCAAGUUCAAGCGGCAAGUUCCCGAUAAAGGGACAACUUGAAUCUAGUUUCAGUCAAACGGCAAGUUCCCGAUAAAGGGACAGCUUGAACCUAUUUCCAGUCAGUUUCAAUUUCAAUUUCAAUUUCAAUUUCAAAAGUGUCAUACCCGGCGUAAAGCCGUGCAAGCCAUGUCACUAAUCAAUUUCAAUUUCAAUUUUCAAUUUCAAAAGUGUCAUACCCGGCGUAAAGCCGUGCAAGCCAUGUCACUAAUCAAUUUCAAUUUCAAUUUCAAUUUUCAAUUUCAAAAGUGUCAUACCCGGCGGAAAGCCGUGCAAGCCAUGUCACUAAUCAAUUUCAAUUUCAAUUUCAAUUUCAAAAGUGUCUUCCCCGGCGUAAAGCCGUACUAGUGAUGUCACUAAUCAAUUUCAAAGUGUCAUCCCUAGGCGUGAAGCUGUGUCAGUGAUGUCACUAGUUUAAUUUCAAUCACCUGUUAUACAUGUAGUAGACAAUCAUUUCCCCCAGUGAAACUACAUUCCCCUCGUGGAGUCAGGAUCCCUUUCUUCAGCGAAUUCGGGUAUCCCAUUGUUGUUUCUCAUUCCAGUCAAGCCAUCUAUGUCAUCCUGCAUUCAUAAUUGCAUCGCAUGCAUUCAUAACAUCUUAGGCCAAAAAUUGUGUACUUUGUAUUUAAGUCUCUUCGACCCGUCGAAUCAAAGAUUCCAUCUUCAAAUCUCUGGUCGAAGAAACUUAAAUAGGGGCAUCUGUCAUACCCCAAUUUUUGACCCAAGAUACCACUUACACGUGUCAUUUAAACUCCGACCGGUCUCAGCCUUUCGAGCAAAAAAUUCGGCAGGGAGGUAUUUUAAAAUACCUCAUAGUUGGUUCCGAGUCGGGCCCUCUUCUCUCAAUUUUCAAUUUUCAUCUAAUUUCCAUCUUUUAUCAACUUUAAAUCCAUCUUAAAUUUUUAUCUUUUUAUCUCAUUUUGAUUCACUUCUAUCUUUUAUUUUAUUUUAUCUUUAUUAUUAUUAUUUUCCAAUUUGGUCCGAUAAUAUCCAAUUUACAGCCUGUCAGCUUCCUCUCCAAGCCACAACAGCCUGUCAUGUUUCCUCCCCAAGCAACAAAAUUUUGCUCAUUUCAAGCUCUAUAAAUACAACACGCAAGCAGCACACAGAGAGGGGGGCCCAACAAACAAAAAAAACAUUCCACGGCCACAACACAACACACAAGACAACAAUUUUCAUUCUUUUUUCGAUCCCAAACCAGCAACCAACAGAGAACAAUUUUCCUCCCAUUUUUUCUUACAAUCCAAACCUUUCCAAUCAACCAACCAAACACAAAUUUCAAACCAGAACAUUUCUAACACAAGAUCAACAACCAAACUCACAGAUCCGGUAACCAAACCGCAAAACAACACACAAACUGUUCUCAUAACAAAACCGAACCAUCGCAACUCAAAUCGAACCAAAUCUUUACAAACCCUCUCAAACCAAAAAGGUAGUAUUUCUUUCCUUAGAUCUAGGUCCAACCGCUUGGUAAAAAUAUUUUUUGAGCUUAAAAUCAUAAAGAGUGAGUAAAAAGAAGUAAAAAGAAGUAAAAAGAACGAAAAAAGGAGACGCUUUCAUCUCCGGCGCGGCGGCGCAGCCGCUAUGGCUCACCGGCCACCGCGCCGGAACCCCCUCCGACCACCAUCUCUCCACCGGAGAAGAUGAAGAAAUUCUAGAGAGAAGGCAGAGCUUCUCUCUCUAGAAAUAAGAGAAGAGAGAGAAAGAAAAAUAAAAGUGAAUGAAAAAAACCAGUCCUGCCUAUUUAUACUACUAGACCGAACCGGUUCAAAUCUGAACCGGUCUGAACCGGUCUAAUCCAGGCCCAUGCGUUUUUCCUGAGGCCCAAUCUCGAUUCUUCAUUUUUAUUCUUGCACCCUCACUUUACUGCUCAUACACCACCAGCAUCUCAUCUUUUUACUUUCUUUUUUUCAUGCAUUUUAAUUUCCUCUCUAUUAAUCCAGAGUGCUCUGGUCCUAUAUUAACUGUUAAUAUUAUAUUCUUGUUUAAUUUAAUUAUUCUCCAGAACAAUCUGGUCCUUGUUAAUUAAAUUAAUCCAGAGUGCUCUGGUCCUAUAUUAACUGUUAAUAUUAUAUUUUUGUUUAAUUUAAUUAUUCUCCAGAACAAUCUGGUCCUUGUUAAUUAAAUUAAUCCAGAGUGCUCUGGUCCUAUAUUAACUGUUAAUAUUAUAUUUUUGUUUAAUUUAAUUAUUCUCCAGAGUGCUCUGGUCAUUGUUAAUUAAAUUAAUCCAGAGUGCUCUGGUCCUAAAUUAACUGUUAAUAUUAUAUUCUCCAGAAUAUUCUGGUCCUAUAUAUAUAUUAAAUACUAUUUAUCUUGUUGAACUAACAAUCUUUUCUUCACACCCACACACUUUAUUUUUUUGUUGCUCUAUUUGUUUAAUUUUCCAUUACUAUUCAAAACAACAAAAACAUUCAAAUAUUCAAAAAACAACAAAAACAUUCAAAUAUCCAAAAUUCACAAAAAGAGCUUUUCACAACAAACCUUGACUUUCAAUCAAGUGACCGUCUUUUUAUUUUAUUUUUCUUAAUCAAAUUUCAAAUCAAUUCUAAUUCAACUUCAAGUCAAUUUUCUUCAAUCUAAAAAACACAAAUCAAUUCUCAUUUGCCAUUUGGCUUUUUAUUUCAAAACCUUUUUCAAAACAUAUAAAAAACACCAAACAAAUCAAACGUCAAUUUCUACCCCGAACUACGAGGUUUUGAUCCCUCACGGGUACGUAGGCAGAGGACCUUGUCCUUCCAAAUCAAUUAAAAAACAAUUUUCUUUUUUCUUUUCAACUUUCAACUAAAAAACAAUUUUCUUUUUUUUCCUUCAAUCAAAAUCAAUUUUCUUUUUCUUUUCAACUCAUCAUUCAAUUCUAUUUUCAUCUCUUUAAAAGCAAGCAAGUUUAAGCACAAAAAGUUAAAUAAAAUCAAGAGGUUCUCGUAGAGUACUACGAAUAUUUAGGGUGCUAACACCUUCCCUAAAUAUAACCAACCCCCGAACCCUAAAUCUCUUCAAAAUGGGUUGUUUGGAACUUUUUCCCCUUAAAAAAAAAUUUGUUCAGUCGUGAGAUAAAAAGUGAGUCAAAGUCAAUCAAAUGGCCUUGACGUCCGAAAAAUGGCGCGACAUUAUUUAUACGAUAUUAUUAUAAAUCAUGAAUAUGCUCCUUAAGAUGGCUAAUCGAUACAAUAAAUAUCUGUUUCAGGCUAUGAGAUACUGCUAUGCUAUCUUGUAUCACAUUAUUCUGCUCACUUUCUAAUGGUUAGAAUUUUGUUUUUCUUGGCCCUUUUAAGGGUGAUGGAAUAGAUGCAGAGGCUGGAUUGCUGGAAGAUAUUCUCAUUCACGAGGAAAUCUAUAAGUCUCGACUAGCCAGCAUUAAACGGGUAAGUUGCUACUUCUCCGCUUAUUCUAUUUCCUCUUUAUACUUCUACUGACUGAACAAUUUUCAGGAAGAAGAAAUUGUUUUGCGAGAGAGGGACCACUACGAACUAGAGAAGGGAAGACUAAUUCGUGAAAUGAAACGCAUUCGGGAUGAAGAUGGUUCACGGUUCAACAAUUUUCAGAUUCUAAACCAUCGUUACGCCCUUCUAAACCUUUUUGGAAAGUGAGGAUUCAGCGAGGUGUACAAGGUCUAAACUUUACUGUACAAUAUUAAUCAUUUUAUCAUAUUUAUAUUAAUUUAGCGAAUAUUAUACAUGGUUGAGUUACUAAAACCAGAAUCCUAGAGAGUUCCUUUGCCUUUUAUUGGCAAAUGUAAAUAAAUACCUUUUUGCAGUGAUUUGAAGUAAAAAAUUUCCAGCAGGCUUUUGAUUUGGUGGAGCAUAGAUAUGUUGCAUGCAAGCUUCAUGGUUUAAAUGCUCAAUGGAGUGAAGAGAAGAAGCAAAGUUACAUAAGGCAUGCAAUUCGGGAGUAUAAUAUUCACAAGACCUUGGUCCAUCGUCAUAUUGUUCGUUUAUGGAACAUCUUUGAGAUUGAUCCAAAUACAUUCUGCACUGUUCUAGAGUAUUGCAGCGGUAUAUACACCUCAUAUGUUUUAUGAAGAUAAUUAUUUUGUUUACUUUUGUUAUAGACUAUGGGUCUGUUUGGAUUGAGUUAUUUGAGCUUGCACUUUGUGAGACUGUUUGAGAGAGCUUAUGAAUACAACCUAUGAAAUGUUAAUAAGCUGUUUUCAGCUUAUUUCCAUAAGCUCUCCAGAAUAACUUAUGAAAACAACUUAUAGCUUAUAUGAAAACUUUUUGAUUUGAUUUUAUCUUUUAUUAUAGAAAUAACUUUUGCAUAGCACUUAAAUGAUAAACACAUCUAUAAGUGCUUGAUGAAGUUGUUUAUCCAAACAUGCUUAUAAAUAUUGUAUGUUUGAUUUCUUGUUUUGUCUACUGCUCCUUCAUUUGAUCCUCCUCUGUUCUACCAGGGAAAGAUCUUGAUGCUGUUCUUAAAGAAACACCUAUAUUGCCUGAGAAGGAGGCUAGAGUCAUUUUAGUUCAGAUUUUCCAAGGCCUUAUUUACAUGAAUAGAAGAGCACUGAAGAUUAUCCAUUAUGAUUUAAAGCCUGGAAAUGUUUUGUUUGAUGAGCUUGGUAUUGCCAAAGUGACUGAUUUUGGUCUUAGCAAGAUUGUGGAGAAUGACGUGGGAUCCCAGGGUAUGGAACUUACAUCCCAGGGGGCUGGAACGUAUUGGUAAGUGAUGAAGAUCAUUGUUGUAGGAUUUCUAAUUUUGAAGUGUUCCAAACUUGUUGGUUUUAAACUUCUUUAACAUUUGCUUUAAUAAACUUCUUUUUGCCUUUCUUUCAUUUUUGAUUUGCAGGUAUUUGCCUCCUGAAUGCUUUGAGCUCAGCAAGACGCCUCUUAUAUCAUCCAAGGUCAUUAAUUAUUUUUUAGUCGUGGAUGCAUGGAUCAUUUUUUUGUGUUAUGAUUUAUGAAUCUCAAUUUGUCAGUCAUUUUGGUCAAUGGAUAUUUCGUUUUAACAUAAGUUUCGUGAUGUCGGUAUUGUGCAAACAACUAAGUGUUGGAUAAUUAUCUUACUUGAUAUUCACAUAAUAUUUCUGACUUGUGGAAAACAGGUUGAUGUCUGGUCUGCUGGUAUUUUGUUUUAUCAAAUGCUAUUCAGCAGACGUCCUUUCGGACAUGACCAAAUACAAGAAAGAAUACUUCGUGAAGAUACAAUUAUUAAAGCACGCAAGGUUGAAUUUCCCUCAAGACCUACUGUUUCUAAUGAGGCAAAGGUAGGUUGAGACCUUUUACGAUAAGUACUGCCCGUAGCUUAUUGUUCUUUGGCCAUCGUUCAUUUAUUUAUAUUAUUCUAUUAUUCUGUGGACACGAUCUUCACCUGUUUUAGGUUAUAUUAUUGCAUGAAAAUUCGACUUUAUUCUAUGUGCAGUCGCAAUUAGCCUUGACAAUUCAUCUGAAUGUGCAAAUUCUCUCCUUGGUAUCACAAUGCCAUUAAAAUGUUAAUAAUGGUUUGAUAGUUGAAAGUAAUUUGCAGCAAUGAGAAACUAUUGGUAGUGCAAGAUAUUUUUUCAUUUAAAAAUUUAUAUUUCUAAUUAUCAUCAGCACUCAGCAGAACCAUAAUAAUAUUUCUUAGGCAUUGUAUUAUUCUCUAAGUAACAAACUAUAAAGUAAUUAUAAUCUCAACUGUUGAAGAAGGAAACAAACUAUGAAGAAGUUAAAGUCUCACUGUUGAUUUCCAAUCAAGAAAUAUAAUUUCGCACUGUUUUCUCUGAAUAAAACUCCUCACAGUUUAGAGGAACCAAAUCCAAAAUACCUGUACUUACUGCCUACAAAUAUCACUGAAACCUGACAAUUAUCUCUACUGCAUGUACAAAUUUGUCAGGAAUUUAUACGGCGGUGUCUGACAUAUAACCAGGCUGAGAGACCAGAUGUAUUGACCAUUGCUCAAGAUCCAUAUCUCACAUACGUGAAGAAGUAGUGAUGUUCAUUGACAUGGCUUUGUUACCCUUUCCCUACCAAAAAAGCAUAUGGGGAUCUCAUCUUCUAACUUCAGUCACUAAAUAUCUGUCAGAAUUUGUAUAGGCUAUUAAGGUUUUCUUGUCUCAAAUGAGUGAGGGAAAGGAUUUUUCCCAUUCUACAAGGAGUUCUUGUUUUCUUCAUGCAUUUAUCAUUUUGGUUCAAAAUACCGGAGUAGCAAAAAGCUAGUUGAGUUGACUUGACCUUGAAAGGGUCAUGAUGUAUAGGUAGGUAAGAAGUUUUUUUUUUUUUUUUUUUUAAUUAUUUUUUUAAUUAUUCUUCUUGCCACCAAAUUAUUGGAUUAUAAUGCAUAUUGAUCGGCUACAUUUUCUUUUCAUUUGUAAAGAGUUGUUUAAAGACAUUUUAUUGAAGAGUUUGCUUAUCUUACAAUUGUGUAAUAGAUGGUUCAGCCUAGUAUGUGUGAUGAUGUAUUUCAAUCAAACUGGCAAUGGUACAGCAAUGAAAAACAACUUGUUAUUUGUAACUUGGCCUCAGUUACAUAUGCUUGUUCAACUUUGGCGAGCCAACUUUUGAAACCUUGGGUUUUGUAAUUCCCUGAUGAGGGUUUGCAGUGCCUCAAUAAUAAUGAUGGCAAUUGGGGCCCCCCAACAUCAUUUCUGAAAGACGAACUCGCACAUGCACAAGUAGAAGGAAGGCAUUUGGCACACUACCAUUGUGGCCGCGUGGGUGUGGCGACCGCAAUCUGUGUUUUGCCACAAGGGCUUGGACGUUAUGAGCUCUAUUCUUUGCCUCCUUCUAUAGAUCAUCAUCACCAAGAGCAUGCUUCUUGAGUUCUCAAGAGUCUUAGAACUUUUAUCGACAGUUGCGCAACCAAAUUAUUGUAAUUGCUUGAGCUUGCCUCACAAUCUCUACAUUUAGAACUUCAAAUCUCUACAUUUUAUAUAUUUCCUCAUUGCCAUAGUCCAUAAGCCUUUUACUCUUCUAGUGAUACUUCUGUACACUUCAAUUUGAUCUCCUAAACUUAGCGUUGGGAUUAUCAAACUCCCCACCAAUCAAUAUUUUCAUUGUCAGAUUCGUAAAUAUCUUGUCUUGAUAGCAAAAAAAGAACAGAUCUGAAUUCUCAAUGGUUCAUGCAUCUGCCUUCACACAUUUAUUAUACUAACAUCUCCAAAUUUCUUCCACCAGUUUAGAUUUAAAUAAAUGACCAUCUCGACGACAAAACUUGUGCUGUAAUAGAUCAAUAGCUUAAUAAAAAACAACAACGAUCCUUUUCAGUCUAGUGCACUGAUAGAAUAUUAGAUAUUGGUGAUUAAUAUUACAAAUAUUGCUUCAAUUGUUAAAAUUUGUAAGCCUUCUUACAUGACAUGUCAGCUAAUCAAUUAAGCUAUUCAACUUACGGAUCUCCAAGUUGACAACAAUGCUCAAAAGUAAUAAAAGAAAAAACAUUCAAUAACAAAAAAGGUGUCCGGUAGUGAGGGUCACAUGACCACGUGUCACAUUUAUAUGUGGUGGUAGAAAAGGUAUGUGACACUUGUGGUGGUCAACUUAUCACCACUCAAUGAUUUGCAUUAAUGUUUUAGAUAAAAAUGUCUCUCUCACGUAGUUGCACUUCACUAAAUAGAGUGCCCCAGACUCCCAUUGUGACCCCACAAGAAAAUAGCUAAAUAGCUUUGGUUAACCCUUAUUAUUUUUUUUAAACAAGUCUAUCAUCUACAAUAUUUUUUUGUUAAGCAAAACAUUUUAUUUACUAGCUAUCGAAGUAUGAAAAUGAACUUGUACUUGCAACAAUGCCUAAAGCCUUGAAUUUACCUUCGUUGUUUGUUGGACAAUGGACAUAUCAUAGUGAUUUGAGUUGAUGUGCGUUUUGUUUGUCAUUUAUGCCGACUAUUUGAUGAAAGGAUUAGGAAGUACAAUAUUCAGCAUCAUCAUUUUCGAAGGCAUGCUGGGAGUUUGGUAGUGAACGACAUUAUACGAGGGGUGGCACCGCUUAGUGCCGAAUCGCUAGUUUGGUUUAUAAUUCAAGAGAAGUUGACCACAAGGAAUAGAUUCAAGAGAUUAAAUAUUAUACUUGAACCAUAUUUGCACAUCACAGCUUAAAGCAACAAUACGUUUUACUCAUAUUUUCAUAUGAAUGUGUAUGUAUUUACGCAUGUUUUAAUGAAUAUUGUUCAAUUAUUCAUUCAUUGCCGCAGUACCCUAAUCGAGUCGAUGACACACUUGAACAGGCAUAAAGGAGCGAUAAUUACAUAGAAAUAAUAUUUGGAUGCUGUGACACCAUUCAAUUCCAUUUUAUAAGAGAAGUUGAACACUGAAAUAGAUUAAAUAUUACACAAUGAGGAUAUUGUUUCAAAUAUACAUUAUUCAAAAGGUAAAAAACAUCACCAUCCUUCAAUUGAAGCACCAACAUCUAUAUCCAUCAUAGAAAUUAAAAACAACAUAUUUUGAUAUGUGUGAACUACCUAACAACCAAAAGACAUUGAGAUAAAAAAAAGUUUAGAAGUUGAAGCAAUUAAGUCUUAUCAUUUAUUCAACAAUAAAAUCUUGAAAGUAACAAAAAAGCAAUUAAUCACUUUAAUUUCUUAUUUGUUCAACAACUUACAAUAACACAUUGGUGUAUAUAUAUAUAUAUAUAUAUAAUACAACAUCCCUUAAACUGGGAAGUUCUGAUUAAUUACAAACAGCUGUAACUACAUAUUUGAAAAUACAAACAUCAAAUUAAUUCAUUCUUCUGCGAUUUGCACAGUAUCUGUUGUUUGUUCUUUUCAGUCUUAUGUUAAACAUGUUUUCAACAAUUCUAACAAGCCAUUGAGGUUUACCAGUGAAGAAGAAUACAUUAUAUCCCAAGAGGAACCCGGAUAUUGCCCCACAUCCAUAUCCAAUUGCCACAGCUUUCCAGCCAAAUCCGGAUUCUUCUUCAUCUUCAGAUGUUGAAUGAGGUGGCAGAUCUUCCUCAUUUUUGCAUGAUUUAGACAAUUGGAAUCCACACAACAUUGUAUUUCCUUCAAAAGAAUCAUUUCCAAAUGUAUUAAACUGUUGACCUUUAGGUAUGAUUCCCUCAAGGUGGUUUUGUGAAAGGUUUAAGACUGAGAGGAAGUUCAAAUUUGUCAAAGCCACAGGAAUCUCACCCUUCAAUUGGUUGCAUGAGAGGUCCAACCACUCCAAAUUUCUCAAAUGACUCAAAGAUUGUGGAAUGCUACCUGUGAUUCCAUUGUUUGAAAGGUUAAGUCCUUUGAGAGAAUUUAAUUCUCCAAUGACUUGUGGAAUUUCACCUUCAAACAUGUUAUUUGAUAAAUCAAUAGUUGUGAAAGCAGUCAAUAUCCUUGUUAGCUCAAUGAAAAAACCUUUCACUGUGACCACAACAGAAUCAUUAUAGUAAUAACCCACACCCUUGUAUUGCAAACCAAUUUGGCUGUCAUUCACAUUCAUCAUUCCUUGAAAGUUCUUGAUGCAUGAUGUUGGCAAGGGCCCACUAAAAUUGUUGAUAGAAACAUCAAAAAUUCUCAACUUAGGAAAUGAAUGCUUGGUGCUAGAACAAGUGAUUGCACCAUGAAGAUUAUUUGAUCGUAAGCUUAGAACUUGUAACUCUUGUAGAGUUUCUAGCCAAUUUGGAAAUGUGUCCUCUAUGUUGUUGUCACCAAGGUCCAAAACUUCAAGAAAUGAACAGUGAGACAAAGACUGUGGUAAUGGUCCUUCCAAUUGGUUUCCAUUCAACUUUAUAGUCUGAAAUGCAUUUUCUUUGGAAAAGGUUCUAGGAAUGUUUCCAUAGAGGUUGUUCAUUUGCAUAUCCAAUACAUUAAGAGAAGUUAAUGUUCCCAGGCAUUGUGGAAUCAUACCUGUUAAAUUGUUGUGAGCCAAAUUGAGAACAUUCAGGUAACUUGCAUUGCAGAAUGUUGAAGAUAUAUCUCCUGUGAAAUUGUUGUUUGAGAGUAAAUAGUUUUUAAUGCCAUCAGGUGGAAUUGGAAGAUCUCCUUGAAAGUUGUUGUGAGCCAAAUUGAGGGUAUAAAGGGAACUUGCAUUGCAGAAUGUUGAAGAAAUAUUUCCUGUGAAGUUGUUAUUUGAGAGUGAAAAGUAUUGAAUGCCAGAAGGUGGAAUUGGAAGAUCUCCUUGUAACUUGUUGAAACUCAAGUCAAUGUACGAAAUCUCAUUCCAUGAGUUUAAGAGCUUCUUAUGAAACCAUUUGGGAAUUUUCCCAUGAAUGUUGUUAUUGGAGAGAUCUAAUCUUUGAAGAUUU
rnacentral:lncRNA from 1 species